rnacentral:lncRNA from 1 species
AAGUGUGAAUCUUAUGUUAAAACACAAGAAGAAGACGAAGAAGAUGAGGAUGAAUGUCACUUUUUCAGUGGUUUUACUUGGGAAGCGGUGGUGAUUGGAUAUGGGUGUGGAGUGGUGCCUGCAUUUAUUAUUGGGUACCUGAUGUUGCUGGCACAGAAACCAAAAUGGUUUGCUGGAAUCAUUGGCAGGGAAUUGGGCCUGAAGAUGAGGAGGAUGGAGAUUAGAAUGCGAUAACUAAAGGUUUGCUGUAAUCUGUAUCCCAUUCCCAGGUCUUGAAUAUUCUGUGAUAAUAUAGUAAUAUCUGGUCUCAUAUAAUUCUAUAUUUGCACCUGUAGACGUUUACAGAUUGGAGAGGCAUGAACAUUUUGGCAUGCAAGUUGAUGGGAAAAGCAGGAUUCAAAUGCAUUGGAAUCAACAACUGCGGUGUUGUAGGCAGCCAAGUUAAUAAACCACUACUUCAGCUGUUUUGCAUCUUCUGUGAUUUUAAAUUUUACAUUUUACAAUAUAAGUCAAAAGAUACAAGUUCAAUAUACAAGUUUUGUUUUGUUUAGUUCCAGCCUAUAAACACUUCAGUAGAUACCAGAGGAGAAAUGGAUACAAUCAAUGUCGGAAUUGGUCUUUAUAGUUGAAACAAAGACUACCAGAUCAUUACCAAUAUCAACUAGGCAUGUUGUUUAACGGGGAACUCAUAACUGGACAAUAAUUUUAAUAAUUUAGAAUUUGUGUAAUUUAUUACUGGUCUAAAGGACACGGGAUGGGUUUGCAAUAGUUAUUUGGAAACAGCUUGCUUAGAUAAAUGGACAGUGUUUUAUAAUAAUAGAGUCCGGGGCCUAUCAAGUGAUUGUUAGAGCAAUUUAUCUACUGUUUUUUAUAGCGGAAAAACAUAAACACUUGGUUUUUUAGUGCAUGCAGAGGGUCCAUCAGUCCAUCCGCAAUUUACACACUCAUUAUUCCAGGAUUCUCUGUUUCAUGGUAUUCUGCUGUGUAAAGAACAAUCACUUGUCAGGACCACCUCCCAUAAUCACAAGAGAUUCUAUAGGAAAAGAAGCAACAGACAUGGUUGGAUUGUUUGUUUUCUGUAUUCUUCUGCUAAAAGGCUACCCUUUUAAAGUCUCUUUUAUAUAUAAAGAUACAAAAAAAAAAAAAAAAAUCAUACUAAUAAAGAUUCUUUUUGGCUCCUCCAGAACUGGCCAGUUUUUCCUUAACUUUGCUUCUCCCACAUAAGACUAUAAGAAUAUUACAAUGAAAUAGUUGAUUAUCGUUGAACUUGCCAAUCUGUUGACUUGGUAAUUUGAAUUUGAUAAGCUCUGAAUUGUAAGUAACGAGGAACAAGAUGACAUGAUGGUAAAUAGAAAAUACAAGAUGUCCAUCAACAUAGCAAAGAAAUAUUUUUCAGCCGGACGACAUAUCAGGAUGUUCAUUACUAAAACAUGUUUGCUGAUGCUUUAUAAUGUACAAUUUACAAUAUAUCACAGGUUGUAAUAUACACUACUAGAUGAUUUUAUGGCCUGUUUAUCCUUAAUCGCUAUCAUGAACUAAUGAAAAUUUAUAAAAGUGGAUCACAUUUGCAGUGAUGCCGCUAUUUUUCCUGAAUUUCCCUAGUUGUGAAGAUUCCCUAGUUGUGAAGAUUGUCUAAAUCAUGUUAGAGUCGCUGCCAUCAGUGAAUGCAUUCAAUGGCUUACUGAAACUGGUAGAGAUACUAAAUUGCAAGAUGACAGAGUGUCCAUGCGUCAUUUUAAGGAUCAAGAUGUGUAGCUGUGACUUGUAUUUUAAAAUUGCAAGAUGUUUUACAAUGGUAGCAGAGGAGGGCUGGGGAUUUAUUGGGUCAGUUCGAAGCACACAAGUAGAAUUGGUUGUGGCAGAGCAAGAAGCUGAGCACGACCAUAAGAAUUUGAACUCUGAGGCUAAUUUGACUCUACUUGUACAAGUUAAUAUAUGAUGGCACAAGUUAAUAUAUGAUGGCAGCAAAGGAGUUUCUUACAUGCGCCAGUUUACAGUUCUUAGAAACAUCUUAUUAUGCUUAUUUGUACUAAACAGAUAUUAGUAGUCCACCAGAAACAAGGAGAUUUGAUAUAUCCCGGACUCUGAGGCCGGUGACAGUCUAUGAGAGGGCAUGUAAUCGAUGGAACAAGGAGGAUUCAGAUACAUUGGAUUCAUUAACAGAACUUCUUCAGAGCCGGAGUCACUUCCAGAUGCUCUCUUCUGGUAGAUAUCUAUUGGAGAAGUAAAAACAUCUCAUAAUCAUCAUUCAGCACUUGCUCUGAGUUUGUUGAUCAACCAUGCGAUGUUGAAGGCAGCUCUUAUCUUAUCUGCAAUCAAGUUAAUGAACCACCACCUCAGUUGUUAAGCAUCUUUCACCAUUUUACAUUUUACAACUCACAAUAAAAGAUUACAUGUGUAUUAAUCUGAUCAUCAUUUGUUUGAUCAAUAUAGAAGUUCGGCUCUGUUUACUUCUAUCCCUGGCUCUUCAUUUCUAGAACAUUGUUGAUACUUUUUAUUGAAUGGUUAAGAAUAUUCCAUAGAUUUUUAUAUUCAGUGCUAGAUGAUUUUAUGUCCUGUUUUCAUUCCAUUCAUGAACUAAUUAAAAAUUUGAAAGUGAUGCCCACCUUUCUGGACCUGCAUUCCAUGACCACAAACUCCAAUUCUGCCCAAAAAUUGCAGCUGUUUCGUAAUAUUUUUCUACGUGUUCUUUUGUUUGGACUUGUUUGCUGGACCAUGCAUAUUGUUUUGAUACAAACAUCUUUGUUGAUGUUAACACUCAUUGUUAGUAGCCCAUUCUUUACGGCAGACAUUGAAUUGGAUUUACUUGAAGAAAUGAAGGUUUAAGAAAGUUCAGAGCAAUUUGUUGAUUAUUUCCUUCCCUAGAAACUGCACUCCAGCAUCAAAGUACCUUUCAAAGACUCUACACAUAAUCUCUUGAUUAUCAAAGACUUGGUCUUGCAUAUACUGAUAUACACUGAAUAUAGGUUUCUUUCAUUUCCUUGAAAUUGCAUUUUUCGAAGUAACUCUCCAGACUCAUUCCCGUCACUUCUCAAAGUCUUAGUCCUCAUCAAUACAUUCACAUAAUAUCACACCAAUUUGCUCAUGCUCAGAUGGGCUUUUCUUACAAACCACAUAUGUUCACUUCUCAGAGUCUUAGUCCUCGUCAAUGUAUAGAGAUAAUAUCUCACCAUUUGCUAGUGCUACAAAUCAGUUUCUCCUACAACCACACAUAAUCGGAGAAAAGUCUGUCAAGUGUCAAGUGGACUUGAAAGACCCUUCUGCAUGGAUUAUUGUAUGUCAUGAAUGCCUUCUGAUAUCCCUGAAAGUGCAAGCAAGUUAUAAAAGUAGCUGGGCAGACUCUUUCUCAUCAAUACAUUCACAUUCAAAGCGGGCGUUGAUAUGCCUCCCUAAUUUUCUAAUGCCCUAGACGGAAUUCUAUUACAAUCCACAUAUGAUGGGUAGCGAUCAUCAAUUCAAAGAAGACACUAUCAGCAGCUUGCAGGAAAUGACCCCUCUGCAUGGAUUAUCGAAGAAAGAAACUUAUACCUAUAAAGCUGUAGAAAACCAAUGGUAAGCAUAACUGCAUAUAAGAUACAAAACUAAAUUUAAUACAAGACUCGUUCUGAGCAUUGGAAAAUAUGCUUUUAUUGCAGCCAAUGUAUUAGUGAAAAGAAUUAAAUUUAAAUUAAUUGUAGACUGCAAAUAUAAGAUUAGGAGAGUUUCUACAACCCACAAAUUAGUAGACAGACUAAUAUGAUUAGUUGAGACCAUCAAUCUGGAGAAACUGUUUCUACAAUGACCCAUCUGUAUGAAUUAUUGAAGAAAGAAACUUAUACCUACAAUGUAAAGGAAAUAAUCACGAGUAUAUUGCAUUUUUAAUCCAAAUUGUAUAUGAUUCUAUCUGUGCUACUGAUAGUAAAUAAUAAAUCUACAACGGGCCUUGCAGUUAAUCAAGGUAUUUAACUCUACCUUUCUACAUUGUUGAAUAGUUUGAAUAAAAUAAUUGUAAUAAAUUUUUUGCUGGAUGCUGUGUGAGUUUACCAGAGCUUAUCUUGGUGAGAAGUCUGAGUACAAGGCAAUGAGCAGGAAACAACAUAGGGAGUUUACAACUAGAAGUAUCUAUUCUCCCCUAGUCUUUUUGUGAACAUCAAGAGGCCAUUCAUUUUGCUCACAAACCAGUUAAAAAUGGCAGGACUACACAUAAUGAAUCACGCAGUCACUUUAUGUGAGAAAAGAAAAAUGUCAGGACAGCAGCUCAAACGUUUAAAAAACUUCAUUAAUUAUUUUCUUUUAUUGAAACCACACUCAUCCAUCAAAGUAGCUCUCAAAGACUAAUUUCCAUCACCUUUUGAUUCUCAAAGUCUUCUUCUUCGUCUUUUACUGCUCCUAAAGUUCUUCCAUUGCAAGCCACAUAUUAGUAGACAUACUACAUCAACUCUGUGGAAAGAAACAAUCUAUACUUGAUCUUGAUGUACAAUGUUAUGAUGUAAAUGUAUAAUAUCAAAAUUAGGAAUAGUAGUCACGCGCUAAUUAAUAACCCUCUGCAGGGGUUAUUAAAGAAAGCAACUUAUAGUUUAAGUUGCUGAACAUUUGUGUGUGCCAAAUUUAAUUUCACACAUCAUUACUAGAUUUACACAUGGUAUUAGACAUCAGUACUAGUAUAAGAUGUUAAUCAAGUUUUAUAAUUUCUUUUAUUUCAGAUAACAAGUUUUUUUUUUUGUGGAAUUAAUUAUUUAUAUCAUGCAUUUGAGCUUUAAAAUUAGCUCUACAUAAAAGUUGGUCUAUUGCAGUAGACACUAAAAUGAUUUCGCUCAAAGAAACAAUGAUGUAUAUGAAGAUUUUCAGAACUGAAUUUCUUUCUAUUUCUAAAAAUUGCAUUCAAGAACCGAAAGUAGCUCACAAAGACUCAUUACAUCAUCUUUCAAUUCUCAUUGUCUUGGUCUUUGUCUUCUACUGCUCAAAAUUCUAUUACAGCCCACAUAUCAGUAUCAUAUACCUAAUCAUAAAUAGUAUUUAAUAUUUAACACAAUUGAAGAUUUGUCUCAGAGACUUACUUCCAUCACCUUAUGGUUCUCAAAGUCUUCGUCUUCUAAUGCUCCAAAAGUUCUAUUAGUUCAGGCCACAUAUUAGUAAACAGACUACAAUUCAUCCAAAAUGACCCCUCUUAUUGGACACUUUGAACACCUCUAUCUGUAUAUGCAUUGGAGAAGAAUUAUCAGCUAGUUAAAAUAACCUCUUCGCAUCAACUCUAUCGAAAGAAGCAAUUCAUACCUAAAGUACAAUGUUUGGAUAAAAUCAGGAAUAGCAACUGCACGCUAAUUUUUUAGUUGAAGCAGGCUACCUUGGUGUAAUUCAGUGAACAUCCCCGUAAUUUCUUGACAGGCCACAAUUAAGGAAGUUCACAGAAUUAAAUUCCAGAAGUAGCUCCCUGAGACAGAUUUGCAUCAUCUUUCCAUCCUCAAAGUUCUUUACACUUAUAUUAUAUUUCAUGUUUUAUUGUAAUGAACAUAGCAGUUUCCUGUUCAGUAAUAUUCCAGGCUCAGGUUCUUCAUUCCUAGUCUCUGUUACAUGUUUGCCACUAAAACGUAUUGAACAGUUAUUAGUUUAUGAUUGUAUUCCAUCUUGAAAGGAGAUCUCAAAGACUCAUUCCCAUAAUCUUAAGAAUCUCAAGUCUUGAUGAACUUGGCCUUCAUCAUAUUUGUACUCUUGUAAUUCCAUAUUAAUGAAGUUUAAAUAUUUAUUUCAAAAAAAAAUGAAGUUUAAAUAUUAAAAUUUUUAAUUUUAGUAAAUUUGUAAAAAUAGUAAAAUUUGUCUUAUUUAUAAUAUUAAUAAAUCUCUUACUUUCUCGUUACUGUAUUCAACUUAAUAAUUCUUACAAACACUUGUAAGUGCAUCACAUAAGUUAUGUAAAUUCAGAAUAAAUUAUGUCCGAUUUCUUUAAGAGAGAUUGUUAUAUUGUUUUUACUUUAAAAAUUGAAUUAUCUUUUAUUUUUAAUAUAAUUUACAACUAAAAAAUAUUUAAUAUAUUUUCUUAUUUUUGUAAUAUGACUAAACAUAUCUUAAAUACACCUUUUUCCUAUAUAUAUAUAUAUAUACAUCUAUUAUAUUUUUUAUGAAAUAUAAUUACAAAUUUUGAUUAUUAAACCGAAAACGAAGUUAUACAAUUUUUUUAUUUCAAAGAUCAUCUAAUAUAUCAUGUAAUAUCUCAACAUGAUUCUAUAACAGAAUAAUAAUCAUUCAGAAUUAUUCUGUUGUAGAAUCAGUUUCGAAACUAUACUUUUUUUUAUCAAAUUUUAAGUGUUAAAUUACUUAAAAUAGAUAUAUUUUAUAGUAUUCUAUAUUAGAAUCACGUUUUAUAUGUAUUUUAUAGCAGAAUUUAUAAUAAAAUUGAUGAUUUAUAAUGCCGCACUAUGUAACUUCAUAUAAAGAGUCCCUUUCUGGAAUGUUGGCAUAUAUAUAUACUAGCUUAAAACCCGUGCAAUGCACGGGCGGUUAUGAUAUUUAUUAUUUUAUCGUAUAUAUUCCAGAUUUAACUAAUUUUAUUGAAAUUAAAAUUGUGAUAGAAUAAUGUGAUUAAAUAAAACAUUUAUUUAACGACUGAAAAAUUCUUAAUAGUUAAAUCCGUCAAAUAGCUAAUUUAAAAUUAAGUCAAAUAUAUAUUUUAAUAAAAAUGUUAAAAUAUAUUAUAUUUUUUAUAUGUUAUAAUUCAAGAAGACACAUAAACCUAGAUAUAAACAACCCAAUCAACCUUUUAAUAUUUUGUUAUUAAUAAUAUAGAACAAAUCCUUAAAAUAGAAUCAGAUAAGUAUAAAACAUAUUGUAAGCUAAAGGGAAGUGUACUGAUCCAUAACACUAACCUAAUUUAUUUAUUUUUAAACAGCACUAACCUAAUUUAUAAAUUAAGGAGGUCCAUGGAUCAAAUAUGAACCGGUUUAUAAAACUCGACCGACCAACUGAACUUUUCAGUUUAUGUUUUAAUAGUACAAUAAUAUAUAGUAUAGUAUAGAUUUGUAAUUUUAACUUUUAAAUUUAGAUCAGUAGAGCAUUUAAAGUAACGUUAAUAUAUUUUGAUCGACAAAUAUCGCCAUUUAUUUAAUAAUAUUGUUAUAUUUUUAUAUAUAUGUCGCCCGUGUUAAUUGUAGUAGAUCAAUUUUUUCAGUCAGUAAAUCUUAAAAAAAAAAUGUGUUUUAGUUAAAAAGGUAAUUACUAUUGCUCGAUGUUAUUUUAGAAAAUUGUGUUUUUUUAGUUAGAAAAUAUAAAAAAGAUAACAUAUUCUAGUUUAAAAGAAUAUUUAGUUAUAUAGAUAGGCCUGUAUUUCGGCCCAAAGUUAAAAAGAAUACUCCCUCCGUCCCCUCCAAUUCUUAUCGUUUGGAAUGGAGUGCUCGGCACGCAUUUUAAGACUCAUAUAAAGUAUAGUUCCAUAACUCAUUUUCAUAAUUCUCUUUUUCUGAAUAAAAAUUUAAACAUUACAUUUUUAUUUAAAAAAAGAAAAUUUUAAAAAUAAGUUAUGGAACUAUACUUUAUAUAAGCCUUAAAAUGCGUGCCGAGCACUCCAAUCCAAAUGAUAAGAAUUGGAAGAGACAGAGGGAGUAAUUAGUUAUGUCGAUAGACCCGUAUUCGGUCCAAUUACUUACAUACCAUAACUUUCAAUUUUCGAUUUUAAUAAUAUAGUAAACCUUAAAAAAGAUAAUGUAUUUUAGUUAAAAAGGUAAUAACUAUAUUGUUCGAUGUUAUUUUAUAAAAUUGAGUUUUUUAGUUAGAAAAUAUAAAAAAGAUAACAUAUUAUAGUUAAAAAGAAUAAUUAGUUAUAUAAAUAGGCCUUAUUUCGGCCUAAAGUUAAAAAUAAUAAUUGGUUAUAUAGAUAGGCCCGUAUUUCGGCCCAAAUUUUGACCGAUCAAACUUUCAAUGUUCGUAAUUACUGUUGCUCGAUGUUAUUUUAGAAAAUUGAGUUUUUUUAGUUAGAAACUUUAAAAAAGAUAACAUAUUCUGGUUUAAAAGAAUAAUUAGGUAUAUCGAUAGGCCUGUAUUUCGAUUUUCGGCCCAAAGUUAAUAAGAAUUAUUAGUUAUGUCGAUAGGCCCGUAUUCGGUCGAAUUACCGACAUACCAAACUUUCAAUUUUUUAUUUUAAUAGUAUAGUGAACCUUAAAAAAGAUAACGUAUUUUAGUUAAAAAGGUAAUAACUAUAUUGUUCGAUGUUAUUUUAGAAAAUUGAGUUUUUCUAGUUAAAAAAUAUAAAAAAGAUAACAUAUUAUAAUUAAAAAAAUAAUUAGUUAUAUAAAUAGGCCUUAUUUCAGCCCAAAGUUAAAAAUAAUAAUUAGUUAUAUAGAUAGUCCCGUAUUUCGGCCGAAAUAUCGACCGAUCAAACUUUCAAUGUUUCAGUUUUAAAAAUAUAGUAUAGCUUUCGGCCCAAAGUUAAAAGAAUAAUUAGUUCUACAGAUAAGCCCGUACUUCGGCCCAAGUACCGACCGACCGACCAAACUUUUAAUGUUUCGGCUUUAAUAGUACUAACUUAUAGCCCGUGCAAGGCAUGGGAGCUUUUUAGUAAUUUAUAAACUUUUUAAAUAUAUUUUAAAUUAUGUGAAAAUUUUUAAUUUACAAAUAAUAAAUUAAAAUUUUCAAUUAAAUAAAAUUUGAAAUUAUGAUUUGUUUGCAAUUCCGAACUUUUGUAAAAAUAUAUAAUUUUUAUAUGAUGUUGGUACAAUUUAAAAUUUUAUCUUAAAUUUUAGUUGAAUCUAAUACAAAAUAUUAGUUUCCAUGAUUUAUUAGUUAUGAAUAACUUAAGCUAACGUAUUCGUCUUUAAUAAUAAAAAUAUUUAAUAGCAUGAGGUAAUGCAUAUUUGCAUAUAAUUUUUCAUUUUUCUUUUUUAAUAUAUAUACUUGAAUAAAAAUAUUUAUUUUAAAAAUAUUUUUAUGUUAAAUUAUUAAUCUUUAUAUAUAAAAUAUAUUCCCUACGGGCUACGUCCCAUCAUAUUAUUUAGAGUUUUUUUUUUGGGAUGUACCAUCAAAUUCUUUACAUUUCAAAACUUACCAAAUAGGUCCCACCACUACACAACUUUUCCUACCUUUUCACACUACUUUUACUCCUUUUUCACAAUACCUUUACUCUACUAUCUUCUUUUUAUACAUUAAAAAUUAAUAGGUCCCACUACUUACCCAUUUUUCUUUUUAUUUUCCACUACUUUGUACAUAUAUCUUCACCUCCGUGCCCAAACCAAACAUAAAGAUUGGCUGGGACGGAAGGAGUAUUCAUUAAUAAUUUGAAUAACAUGCAUGCAAAUAGAAGGCAUAACAUGUCUGGAUUAGGAAAAUUUGUUAAAAAUAUGCGUUAUAUUUUUCACACUUGUUUCUAAUUUGGAUAAAAAUAUUUUUGUGAUCGUGCAAUUUGUAUGAUUCUACAAAUAAAAAUGGGAAUAUUUAUUUUAGAUUAAAAUAACAUAAACACGUGAAAGAAAUAAUUUGUUUUGGAUUCAGAAAAGAAGAUAUCAGUUGCCUAGCUGCCUUAUAAGUUCUAAUCUAACAGUGCUUAUUUGAUCAAUAUACGAUCUAACGGAUGAUAAGCUUUUGGACCAGAGGACCAUGCGACCAAAUUAUCUCCCUUACGCUUAUUAUAUAAUACUAGCUUAUAGCCCGUGCAAGGCACGGGAGCUUUUUAAUUAUUUAUAAAUUUUUUAAAUAUAUUUUAAAUGGUGUGAAAAAAUUAAUUUAUAAAUAAUAAAUUAAAAUUGUACAUAUCAUGCCAAAGUAUUAAAUUCUUUCUAUCAAAUUUUAAACCAACUCCUAUUAGAUUAUAUUUAUAAAAGUUCUAAUCUAACAGUGCUUAUUUGAUCAAUAUACGAUCUAACGGAUGAUAAGCUUUUGGACCAGAGGACCAUGCGACCAAAUUAUCUCCCUUACGCUUAUUAUAUAAUAUAGCUUAUAGCCCGUGCAAGGCACGGGUGCUUUUUAAUUAUUUAUAAACUUUUUAAAUAUAUUUUAAAUGGUGUGAAAAAAUUAAUUUAUAAAUAAUACAUUAAAAUUGUAUUCUCAAAAUGGUGUGAAAAAAUUUAAUUUAUAAAUGUUAAAUUAAAAUUGUAUGUAUCAAUGCCAAAGUAUUAAAUUCUUUCUAAAUUUUAAAUUAUUUUAAGUAGUGUGACGCCAACUCCUAUUAGAUUAUAUUUAUAAAUGUAUUUUAUAUUAGAAUUAUUAUAAUGUGAUUUAAAUAUUUUUCUAAAAAUUUUUAUGGUUCGAGAUUAAAAUUGAUAAACACAAUUUGUUUUGAAUUAAGAAGAUGAAUCAUAAACAUGCAAUAAGAUGGUAGAAUUUGCUUUGGAUUAAAAAAUUUUUUUUGUAUUUGUUCCUCACAUAAAUCGGGCUUAUUAAUUUUGAAAUAUAUUAGGUAAAAAUAAUUUUGUGACUGUGCGAUUUAUAUGAUUCUACAAAUAAAAUUGGUAGAAAAUAUUUAUUUUGGAUCAAAAAAAAUCAUAAACACGGGAAAUACUUAAUUUGUUUUGGAUUCAGAAAAGGAUUUAUAAACAUGCAAGUAGAUAUCAGUUGUGUUAUGGAACAAAAGUUAAUUUUGUUCUAAUCCAACGGUGCUUAUUUGUUCAAUAUACGAUCCGAUGGAUAAAAAUAAUCUUGUGACGGUGUGAUUUAUACGAUUCCACAAUUAAAAUUUGUAGGAAAUAUUUAUUUUGAAUUAAAAAAAAACAAAAACACAUGAAAGACAGAAUUUGUUUUGAAUUCAGAAAAAGAAUUAUAAACAUGCAAGUAGAUGUCAGUUUCCUUAUAGAACAGAAUUUAAUUUUGUUCUAAUCUAACGGUGCUUAUUUGUUCAAUAUACGAUCCAACGGCUUUUGGACCACAGGACCUUGCGACCAAAUUAUCUCCCUUACGCUUAUUAUAUAUAAGUAUAUAAUAAGUAUAUAAUAGUAUAGAUAUGCUAGUCUUAAAUAUAUUUUUUUCCUAUAUAUAUGCUAGCCUCUUGAGACGUGAUCAUCCCAAACAAAAAAAUUUAACGGAAAAAGAAAAUGAGGAAUUCCAUCCUCUGUUUUUCCACCAUCUGUUUGUUGCUCAUCUUCCUGCAGUUGCAGCACAACCUAGUGGCUUGUUCAUUAAGCCCCCACUUGCAGAAACUUGCCUUGUUCCAUUUUAACCAAACCUUAACAAUCAGUACUACUAGCUGGGAUUGCGAAUACGUUUCCUACGAAGAGAAUGCAGUGUAUGAAAUUCCUUCACGGGCAAAGACAAAGAAUUGGAGCAUGAGUUCUGAUCACUGCACAUGGGAUGGAGUUAGCUGCGACGACAAGACAGGGGACGUUAUCGGACUGGAUUUAAGUUGCAGUCAGCUGGAAGGAGCCAUUCUUCCUAACAGCGCUCUCUUCCAGCUCUCUCAUCUCCGCUUCCUCAAUCUUUCUCAAAACGACUUUUACCUCGCCAGUCAGUUCCCUCAGGAAUUUGGUUUCUUUGCAAAAGGUUUGACGCAUCUCAACCUCUCUAAUACUGGAUUAUCAGGGAGAGUUCCCUCGGGAAUCUCUCAUUUGUAUAAACUUGUCUCACUUGAUCUCAGUGACAACUCAGUCUCACUUGAUCUCAGUCAGAACUAUGAGGCUAAACUUGAAGAAGAAGUGUUUAAAUCAGUGUUGCAGAAUUUAACUCAUCUUGAAGUGCUUAAUCUUAAUGGAGUUAAGAUCUCCUCUGUUUUGCCCCUGAAUAUCUCUACUUCUUUAAGAGUUCUUCAAUUGAGGUAUACUUAUAUACACGGAGUAGUACCCCAAGAGGUUUUCCACCUUCCCAACUUGGAAUUACUUGAUUUAUCACUUAAUGACGACCUGAGAGCAACAUUACCCAAAGUUAAGUGGGGAAGUAAAGUUACUCUCCAACACCUUCAUCUUUCAUACAUCAACAUAGAUGGAGGUAUACCUGACUCAAUAGGCUUUUUGGAGUCAUUAGUCAGUUUGGAUUUGAGCAGCUGUAAUUUGUCUGGGCCUAUACCAAGAUCCAUUGGGCACCUCGUUCAACUUACUCGCUUGGACCUCUCUCAAAAUAUUCUCAAUGGCCCAGUUCCAACAUUUUUUACAGACCUUACAGACUUAAGAUAUAUCUCCCUUUGGCAAAACAAUUUCACUGGAUCCCUACCUCGUUCGUUGUUUCACCAUCCAUCCUUAGAGUCCUUGUCUCUGGAUAAUAAUGCAUUCACGGGUCAACUACAUGAAUUUGAUUCUUCUCGCUCACGGCUGCAAUCUUUUUCUUGUUCCAACAAUUCACUCUAUGGAUCCAUUCCACAUUCUUUUUCUCAGCUUGUGAAUCUCACUGUCCUAGAUUUGUCAUCAAACAAUUUCAGCGGGGUUUUGGAUUUGGAAAUGUUUUCAGGCCUCGAAUCUCUAAAACGUCUUCAUCUUUCUGAUAACAGUCUUUCAGUGAGAAGUACAAUUAUGGCCACUCUCCCUCCUAAUCUUUACUCCUUGGGCUUGUCAUCUUGCAACAUGAAAGAGUUCCCCCACUUUUCAAGAGAUGCAAACAUCUCCCUGAAUCUUAUAGACCUAUCAAACAAUAAAAUUGAAGGGGAAAUUCCACACUGGAUUGGGUCGGUGGGGGAUUUCUAUGGAAUCCCUUAUCUGAAUCUAUCUCACAACAAACUAAUAGGCGGUCUUGAGCAACUGCCUUGGGGUUAUAUUCAAUAUCUUGAUCUCCAAGACAACAAGCUGAAUGGCUCCUUGCCCACCUUGAUGUGUAAUUCCAGCUCUCUUGAGAUUCUAAAUCUCUCUCACAACAAUUUGAGUGGUGUACUCCCCAUUUGUCAUACAAAUUUGACUCAGCUUUCGGUGUUGGAUCUGCGGAGGAAUAAAAUUCAAGGAAUCAUUCCAGCAACCUUGUCAAAUUUCCGUUAUCUGGAAACUAUUAAUUUGAAUGGAAACCGCUUACAAGGAAGCAUUCCUUCUUCUUUUGCUGAAUUAGAUUCUUUAGCCGUCCUUGAUCUUGGAAAUAAUCAGAUAAAUGAUACAUUCCCCCUGUGUUUGGAAGCUCUUCCAAAACUCCAAGUUCUUGUUCUCAAAUCAAACAAGUUUCAUGGUAUAAUAAACCAGAGUUCUGAGACAAAACACCCAUUUCCUAGCUUAAGAAUCAUUGAUCUUUCGUACAAUGAGUUUUCAGGUGCACUGCCAGAAAAAUAUUUUAGAAACUUCAAGGCUAUGAUGAAUGCGGAAGUGAAUAAGAUAAAUCGUAGCUAUAUGGAGCAUCGGUAUUACAGUGAUUCCACAGCUCUGGUGAUUAAAGGCAUGGAUAUUGAUUUACAUAGAAUUUUGACUGUGUUCACAACUAUUGAUGUAUCAAAGAACAAUUUUGAUGGGGGGAUAGCUGAAUACUUUGGAAAUCUAGUAUCACUCAGAUUUCUUAAUCUUUCUCACAAUUAUCUCACAGGCCACAUACCAUGCUCGAUUGGAAAAUUGACUGUGCUGGAGUCACUAGACCUCUCAUCCAACCAACUUGAAGGAGAAAUACCUCAGCAGCUCACUAGUGUAUAUUCACUUGCAGUUCUAAAUCUGUCUUGCAACCAACUUAGAGGACGUAUUCCAGAAGGGUGGCAAUUCGAUACGUUUGAAAACAGCAGCUACGCUGGUAACUUUGGGCUGUGCGGACAUCCCUUGUCGAAAAAGUGUGAAUCUUAUGUUAGGACACAAGAAGAAGAUGACGAAGAUGAGGAUGAAUGUCACUUUUUCUGUGGUUUUACUUGGGAAGCGGUGGUGAUUGGAUAUGGGUGUGGAGUGGUGCCUGCAUUUAUCACUGGCUACCUGAUGUUGCUGGCACGGAAACCAAAAUGGUUUGCUGGAAUCAUUGGCAGGGAAUUGGGGCUCAAGAUCAGGAGGAUGGAGAUUAGAAUGCGAUACUAAAGGUUUGCUGUAAUCUGUAUCCCAUUCCCAGGUCUUGAAAAUUCUGUAAUAAUAUAUAGUAAUAUCUGCUCUCAUAUAAUUCUAUAUUUGCAGAUUCAGAUGGGACAAGCAGGAUCAGAUGCAUUGGAAUCAACCACUAGUACUUCAGCUGUUUUGUCAUUCUAAAUUUUACAUUUUACAAUAAAAGUCAAAAGAUACAAGUUAUGUAGUAUUGUUUUGUUCCAGCCUCAGGCUCUUCAUUUCUAAAACAUGUUUGCGGAUGCUUUACAAUGUACAAUUUACAAUAUAUCAAAGUUUUUAAUAUACACUACCAGAACUGGGUUACAUUGCAGUGUUGUCGCCAUUUUUCUGAAUUUCACUAGUUGGGAAGACUGUAUAAAUUAUGUUAGAGUCGCUGCUAUCAGUGAUCGCGUUCAACAACUUAUCUCAAACUGGUAAGAUUUACUAAAUUUUUAAUUUCACAAGCUGUUGAUAGAAUAGAAGAUGCCUCAGUUUAAGGAUCGAGAAUGUAUUAAUGAACUGUCCCAGCCCUGAGAAAUUCUCUUUGAUGGGGCUGCAGUUUCAAUAAAUCGCCUCUUGUACUCAGCCAUCAUACAGUGAACCACCGUCCGAUGGUCGAAAUUGGCGAAGCAUGAUGGCUUUAAAUCAGCCCAUAACCUGAUGGGGUGGCAUUUCUGUUCCCCAUUAGUACCAAUGCAGGGUGUCCCCUUCCAAAGCUACUCUGCAACAAUUUCCAACAUCUCGUAUUCACUUAACCCGUUCAGUAGACAACAAGGUUAGGAGCAAGAAUGAGUCGGUGUCUGGACAUGAGAUUAGGAAUACUAUUACCUCUGACUUCUGAGGCCCGUGACAGAUCGAAGAGGCAUGAAAGUUGGGGACAGGGGACGGCUGGUGCAUUGGAAUGAAAGUAAAAAACUUUUUCAGAGCCUGAUGCUCUCAAGGAUGCAGUCUAAUGAACAAGCGUAAUGAUGUCAUGUUAACUGUCAACCACCUAGUCAAAAUUACUUGAAAUGAUGAAAUUUAUGACAGUAAAUUUAUGAUGCUCUGAGUUUGUUGAUCAACCAAGCUAUGUUGUAGGCAGCUCUUAUCUGAUCUGCAAUCAAGUUAAUGAACCACUACCUCAGUUCAACAUUUUACAUUUUACAGCUCAGAAUAAAAGAUUACAUGUGUAUUAAUCUGAUCAUCAUUUGUUUGAUCAAUUUAGAAGUUCGGCUUUGUUUACUUCUAUCCCGGGCUCUUCAUUUCUAGAGCAUAUUUGUUGAUACUUUUUAUUGAACGGUUAAGAAUAUACCAUAGAUUUUUAUAUUCGGCGUAGAUGAUUUUAUGUCCUGAUUUCAUUCCAUUCAUGAACUAAUUAAAAAUUUGAAAGUGGGUCAUAUCUGGCAGUGAUGCCAGCCCUUCCUGACCUGCAUUUCAUGACCACAAACUCCAAUUCUGCCCAAAAAUUGCAGCUGUUUCGUAAUAUUUUUCUACGUGCUCUUUUGUUUGGACUUGUUUGCUGGACCAUGCAUAUGUUUUGAUACAUCUUUGUUGAUGUUAACACUCUUGUGUCAGUUACUGGACUCAUUGUUAGUAGCCCAUUCUUUACGGCAGACAUUGAAUUGGAUUUACUUGAAGAAAUGAAGGAUUAAGAAAGUUCAGAACAAUUUGUUGAUUAUUUCCUUCCCUAGAAACUGCACUCCAGCAUCAAAGUACCUUUCAAAGACUCCAGACAUCAUCUCUUGAUUAUCAAAGACUUGGUCUUGCAUAUACUGAUAUACCGUGAAUAUAGGUUUCUUUCAUUUCCUUGAAAUUGCAUUUUUUGAAGUAGCUUUCCAGACUCAUUCCCGUCACUUCUCAAAGUCUUAUUCCCCAUCAAUACAUACACAUAAUAUCACACCAAUUUGCUCAUGCUCAGAUGGGCUUUUCUUACAAACCACACAUGUUCACUUCUCAUAGUCUUAGUCCUCGUUAAUAUAUACAGAUAAUAUCCCACCAAUUUGCUGGUGCUACAAAUGGGCUUCUCCUACAAGUCUACAACUACACAUAAUCGGAGAAAAGUCUGUCAAAUGGAUCUUGAAAGACCCUUCUGCAUUGAUUAUCAAAGUAUAUUAUCUGUUAACAUAAAUGUAUUUUAUCAAAGUACUCUCUAAAUAAAAACUAGUAAUAGCAGUUACACAGUAAAAAUUUUUCCUCAAACAAUUACCACCUCAAAUGAGAUAGGCAACCUUAGAUUCUCCAAAAGUGCUUAUAUUGCAACCCUUGUGUAAUGACUAAUAACAGUCAUGAUUAGUAGACAGACCAUAAUUGCGAUGGUUCGAACUUUUUUACUUGAGCUGGAGAGAAGACUUUGAACUGCAGUGUUAGCUAGGAGUUUUUGCACCGUUCCUUUCCCUGUCUUGAAAUUGCAUUUCAGCUCCAAAAGUAGAUUUCAGAGACUGAUUCAUGCCAUCUUUUAAUUUUCAAUGGCAUAGUCGCGAUGACACUCUCACUUCUCACAUUGGAAAACUUUUACCAACACAAUGAAAUUUAUAAGAGUAAAAUGCAAAGCGGUGGUUAAAUUUAUAAGAGUUCUAUCGAAGUCUAGUUUACCUAAAUAACUGCAAAAUGGUUAGGGUUGUUCACGAACCGAGCCGAGCCGAGUUUUGACCGAACCGAGCCAAGCUUUAAUUUUUUUUCUGACGAGCCGAGCCGGGCCGAGCUUUUUUAUCGAACAAAAUUUGUGUUCAAGCUCGGCUCGUUAACUAACGAGCCGAACACGAGCUUGUUCGCGAACAAAUACAAGCCGAACCGAGUAGAAUCGAGUCGAGCCGAGCCAGAAAAAAAAUAAGAACAAACCGCUAGUUGACUCUUAAAAUAGCUAACCAAAUAAUUUUAUUUUUUUUUAAACUUUGUUUAUAUCACUAAAAUGUAUAUAUGUUAACAUCCAUACGGUUGGAUCGGUAAGAAAUAUUUUUUAAAAUAUUGAAACACUAAAUUAGGAUUAAACACUAGUUAGCAGUACUAUUUAACCUUCUACUUGACUGUUAAAAUAGCAAACCAUAUAAAAUUAUUAUUUUCCGAAAUUUUGGUUACAUCACUGAAAUAUAUAUAUAUUAAUUAUAUGUUGAAUUCUGAGUUCAAUAACAUAUAUAAAUUAUAAAAAAAACCCCGAAAAUAUUACAUUUUUUCGAGCUUUAACGAGCCGAGCUCGAGCCGAGCGAGCUCGAGUCGAGCUCGAGCCGAGCUCGAGCCGAACAUACUAAAAGCUCGGCUCGAGCUCGUUUACUUAACGAACAAUUUUUUGUGUUCGUCCUCGAGCUCGUUAACUUAACGAGCCGAGCCGAACGAGCUCUUAACGAGCCGAGCUCGAGCUUGUUCGCGAACAGCUCGGUUCGUUAAGCAGCCCUAAAAAUGGUGAAACAAACUAGGGCUUAGAAAAUGGUACAAUUUGCGGUUUUGUAUCUAUUGGGCAUCUAUUUUGGUGUGCUAGUCAACUUGUAUGGUUCUUAAAGUUUACAACUUGAAACAGUUAAUAUCAAAUGUCAAAGUGAAAAUAUGUGUAGUUUUAACUUCACAAUAUUUUCUUGGUGCGGGCUAUGUAAGUUAUCUUUUACAUGGUGAAUCAAGUUAUGAUACUCAGAAUCAAUUAUGUUUCACUUUCGUAUUUUCCACCUGGUCGUAAGAUUUGUAGUUUUCCUUCGCUAUUGUAAAGGUUGUGUUCUAUUAAGGGUGAUAUAUGCGCACCCUAAAUUAAUUUAUGCACACUUUACCUUCUGUUUCAUAUCAAAUUACCCUUGUCUUUUAUCAUUUCAACCAAAUAUUUUAUUAAUUCAAAGGGGUAAUUUAGUACAAACUAGAUGAAAGGUGUGCAUAAAUAAAUUUAGGGUGUGCAUAAAUCAGCACCCAAUGUAUUUAGUGAUUCCACUGAUGAUAAUGUUAAGCAAUUAACAGGUAUUAAAAUGCUUUCAUUAUAAUGCAACUUUAUACUCCCUUUAUCCCAUUUUAACUGAGGUAAAAAAAACAAUAUCUACACCCAUUAAAAAAAAUUCAAUUUUUAUAUCAAAUAAAAGUUUAGAUUCUAAAAUUUUAAUUGAUGAUAUAAAUUUUAUAAACAAUAAUUAUGUUUAUAUGUGAUUUUCUUAACAUUUCAAAAUACAUGUAAAAAGGUCAAAAGUAGUUAAAAUGGGACGGAGGGAGUAUAUUUUUAUUCAAACUCGAGUCUCCCGUGAGUGGAGCUCUUAAUAUCAUGCGAAGUUAAUAUUCUCCUAAAAUCUCAAAAUGUUAGAUAGAAUGACUUAUAAAAAAAUUGAAGAAAAGUGGAGUUUUAUUAUAAGUUUUAUCCGUGUUACAUACUUACAUUGAAUAUCUGGUAGUAACGCAAAAAAUUUGGUCUCCUCUAUGUAUUUUUGCUGGCUUGGUCGAAUCAGUUGGAUUGCUGGUAUUUGAAUAAUCUAAUUUUUUCAGAAAUAAGAAUUUAUUUCUUGAGAAAAGUACAUAAAACUACUAUACUUUUUUGGUCUCCUCUAUGUAUUGUUUUAUUUUAUAAGUCGUUUAAGGUAUUUUCACACAUAUUAAAAAACUUCAUUGUUGCAUAAAAAAGUAUUUAUUAGUCAUUUCUUUUUCAUUAUUAUCCUCAUUUAAUGUCUCUUUUCUCUCUUUUUCUAUUGACUCAUAAUAUUAAAUAAGGGUGAUAAAAGUCAUUAGAUAAUUUAAAUUAUUCUUGAAAAAAAAAAAAGAACGACCUAUAUUUAUGAAUAAUAAUAUUUUCUAAAAUGAACUAUAAAAAAACAGAUGGAGUACUGUAUAUCAAGUGGAGAAGCAAGACUAAAGUGCAGUACUCCUAAGCCCACAUUGUACGGCGGUAGUACAUUUGAUUUUAUUCGGGGAAAACCAUGUUUAUGGAUUAUCUCAUCUGAAAGACCCUAUCCAUCAUCUUCCGAUUCUCAGAGUCUUGGCCUUCCAUUCCAUGCACUGCUCUGCACGUGCUUCUGUUUGAGAUCAAAAUCACCUGCCUUAAAAAAUUUGUUUCUUUUGUAGUCUAAUCUCUGUCCCAAUCAAAUAUAUACCUUAACUGUGCACGUAUUUUGAGAUUUUAAUAAAAUUUUGUUGUAAAAUACUUUUUAAAAUUUUUUUUUUUGAAUAAAAAUUUAAACCUCAAAUUUUUAUUCAGUUAAGGAAAAUUUUAAAUAAUGUUUUGUAAUUAUACUUUAACGAAGCCUUAAAAAAUAUACCAAAAAACAGCGUAUACAAUUCAUCAGACGAGCAACCGCCAACAAGAAACACCACCGACAAUAAUAAACAAGAUUAGAAUGCAUAAUAUUCUGCAUUGGUCGAUAACUAUCAUUAUUAAUUUCUUCCUGCUGCACCACCGACAAUAAUAAACAAGAUUAGAAUGCAUAAUAUUCUGCAUUGAUCGAUAACUAUCAUUAUUAAUUUCUUCCUGCUGAGAAUUGAAACCACGCCCUCUGGCAAUUCCAAAAUGUUCCCUUUUAUAUUUAGCAAAAAAUAAUGAAUGGUGCUCCCAUUUUUUGACUAACCCAAAAACUCGAUGAUGGGCAAAAAUUGCACUAAUAUUAGAAUGAUGGUGUUUAGACAAGUUCUUCAUUUCAAAUUUUAAAUAUUGAAAUAAUUAGAAAUAUAAUAUAUAACUAUAUGACAAACACUCUAAUUCAGCAAGAAUCUUAUUUUUUGUAUCAAUUUUUCAAUAAUUUCAGGUGAAUGGUAAUUUAAUAUAUAAUCAAAUUUUAAAUAUUGUAUAGUUUUUGUUUUAUAUUUUAAUAAAUUUCAUAAUAGUGAGGAUAUGAGUACAUAUAUACAUCAACAGAAGGGUCGUUUGGGUAAACUUUAAAAAAGUGACUUCUUUCUUCAAAUAAAAAUGUGCACUAUAUUCCGUCAAAAAAAAUGUGCAGCAUUAGUAAGAGGUAAGUCUAGACUUAAAAGUGAUUAAAAUUUUUUAAGGAAAAGUAGAAGUUCUGAAAAUAAAAGUUAGAAAUUUUGGCUUCUUACAGGUGUUUCUGACUUUUUACAAAAUUAUAAGCCGACUUUCUUAGAAAAAGAAGGCGGAAGCUGGGGCAGCCAAACAAACACAUGAUAUGACUUGAUAUACAAAAAAAUUACAUUUAAAUUACGUUUAUAACACAAAUAAUCUCAAUUUAAAAAUGAUGAACAAAGAGAUAUGAGAUAUAUUGAAAAAUAAUUGAAAGCAACCCGUGUUUUGCACGGGUUAAAAAGCUAGUUCUAAUUAAAGGGAAAAAAGCCAUCGACUAAAAUUGAACACGGAUGGGAAUUAUAAGAAGCAUAAGCAAACAAACUUUUCUCUACAAUAAAAGGUGAUGGGUUGAAGUCAAGAAAACACCGAUUCAUCUUUGUACAAAGUUAAAAAUACUAACGGCUCUUUGCUUAUAGCACUACAAGAAAACUCAUUUUAAUGACAGAAAUUCUGUUAACAUGAUAAGGAUUUUCGUUGGUAAAUCACCGCCAAGGGAAUGAUAAUGAAAAUAAUUGGUUGGCAUAUAGUUGAUCGGGAAGUUCAUGCUAACGGAACAAAUUCGUUGCUAAAUUGGUUUCUUUUGAUAAAAGAUGAUGGGUUGAAGUCAAGAAAACAAACACAACACUUUUACAGAAAGUUAAAAAUACUAACCGCUCUGUGCUUAAAGAGUGGCAUAAGUAAGCAGUUCUCCGUGUGCUAGAAAUUCCUUCAUUUCUUGCUCUUCUAAGCCAACAACAGCUCUAAUACCAUCAUUCGCGGUAUCCAUCAGAGUGAUGACAUCAACCAUCGGAGUGUCCACAAGCACAGCUUUAACCGGCUUUCCCCACCCGAAAUCCAUGAUAUCAUAUAGCGGGAAAUUACACAUGCUUGUAAUAACGUAGAACCUGUACUUGUGUUUUGUGAACUCAAGAAACUCAGUCUCCAUUUCGUGUCCUUCCAUACUCUUGAUUCCUUUUAGCUGUUCCCUCUCUUUCCUCAUUCGUGCUACCAACGUUCUGUACUUUUUGUCCGCCUCUGUGGUCGCUACAAUGUGGUUUAGAAUCUGGAAAUUCCCCACAGUUGUUUCUUGCAGUGGCGGAUCAAUCAUAUGCCUCACAUUGACAGCCCGCAUUAAAACGGAUCCAUUAUGCACUCCAGCAUUAGUCCUAUCUGCCACGCUUACAAGACAUCUGUAAAGGAGUGCAGUCAGAAGCUCGUUGCGGGUGUAUUUUUGAUCUUCCACUACUCCAUCCAGCUUAUCCUCGUUAUUCACCACAAUCUUCAGUUCUGCUAGCUUUGUGUUGGGAAACACUAAUUCCUUCGUCGUCCAAUUCUUAUCUGGAAAUAUGAUGGUUUCGAUGGCAUUAAUAUCAUAGGAUAGAGGCAGCAGAGCAUUCACCAGAACGGGACAGAGAUGUAACAGUUUUCGGUGAUCACCAGAAUGGAGUGACAGAGUGGCCCAAUACCUUAAAAGUGUGCAGGUAGUCAGAGCAUCACCCAGAAGGUGAGAAAGGCAAAAAAUUGCUGACGAAAAAAUGUACAAACUAGUAAAAAAUGAAAAUCACUUCUGGUAGUAAAAAAAGUCUAAACUAGAACCUAGUUCAGCCCAAUAUUUUAGCAUUAGUUUUAACUGCAAAAAUCACUAAUUUGUACAUUAUUAAUGAUUAAUUUUUAAAUAGAAAUAUCACAAAUAAAUAAAUAAAUAAAUAUAAUUAAAAAAUUAAAAAAAUCAUCAAUUUUCACCAAAAAGUCGUAUUUUCCCAACUAGUUCUACCAUGGAACCAUAUAUAUUUGUCCAAAGUGAUUUACUGUUCAAUAUCAAGUCUAAAAAAAUACACAUAAAACACUACCUUAAAAGUGUGCAGGUAGUAAGAGCAUCCCCAAGAAGGUGAGAAAUGCUAACUGCUACAGCCAUCCCUCCACAAUCGAAACGGUUGAGUUGCACAUACAUUAUAUUACCCGAAUGCUUCUCAGAAAACUGAUUCCGAAUUGUGCAAGGUGGAAACAGAUGGCCUAAUCCGUCUUCUUCCUUGACUGCAGCUCUAUCCUGAACCUCCGACAUAUUGCAUCCGAUUUGAGCCUCGAUAAAUUGAACGCCUUCAUCGUUACAAUCGACGUACGAUCCAGAGCAUAUCCUUCCUGCAAAUGGAUAGUACUUGGACAGUGUCUCCGACAAAGACUUCUUCAGUAGAUCUGAUGCAUUAUCAGGGACCCGUUCACGAAUGGGAUCAGAGUUGUUUUUGGGAUAGAAAAAAAUCAGUGGAAUAUAAAAAUUUGGAACCAUGCGAUCAUGUAAAGGAAUAUUGUAUCGUUUGAGGUUCGAGGGAGUUGGAGAAGCUGGUUUAAUGCUGCAGGAAGAUCUUGAGAUUACAUGCAGCUGCCUUCUAAAUACUAAUGACAACCUCAUCAAUCCUUUAAACGUCAUUUUUAACUUGCCAAACCAAACUUUGAUGUGUAUAUCAGAUAUGAGCUGGUUUAAUUGGGGUAUUUAUACAGAUUUAUAAGAGAAGAUUACAGCCCAUGCCAAAAGACUUGGCGGUUGAAGCUGGUGAGAUGAUAUAACUCCUGAUUAACCGGAAAUCAGGGAUUAAUCGUAAGGAUUAAUCAGAGUGAAAAUCGGUUUUAUUUUGAAUAUUAAAAUAUUAUUUUUAAUAUUUAUUUAUUACUAUAUUAAUUAUUUAAUAAUAAAUAUAUUUAAUAUAUCAUAAAUUUUAUAAUUGUUCAUAUUUAAAGUAAAUAAGUAGUAUUCAAUUUUAAUAAUUUAUUAUAUAUAUAUACUUCGCUUGAGAAAAAUUUAUACGGAUUAAUCGAAUUUUAAAAAUCGAAUCAAUCGGCCAUCUUGCAGGAGAUUAAUUGGGAAUUCAUCGAUAAAAUCAAUAAUUUUUAAAACACUGCCGGCAACUGUAAGUAUAAAAAAUAGGAAUAAACAAAGAGCACUGGGAACCACAUGCAAGUGAUUGUUUACUGCUGGUUCUACCGGUCUCUGCCAAAAACUCUGAUAAAUACCAGACAAAACUACCAGUCUCCCUUGCAUAAAAUAUCUAAGCUACAUAGGAAUCUUUUUAUGUCUAUGCUACAAGACAUUUUUUAUGACUUGGAUCCCAUUUCAUUUGUGGCAUUGCAGCAGUUCAUUCUUUAUUUCCUGAAUUUUCUCUAUAAUCUUUACCUCAUGCCUCUUAAUUUUUAUUCAAGAUAAUUUUUUUUGCAAAUUACUGUGGUUCUGCUUUUCUUAUCUUUUCUUCUUUUGGCUUUGCUGGUACUUUUCCUUUGCCAGUUUAAUUUUACCUUCAACUUUGAGAAAUAAAUGUAUUUAGUGAUUUCACUGAUGAUAAUGUUAAGCAAUAGGGUUCAAAAUGCUUUCAUUAUAAUGCUACUUUAUUUAUUUAUAUUCAAACUCGAGUCUCCAGCAAGGGGAGCUCUUAAUACCAUGUGAAGUUAAUAUUCUCCUAAAAUCUCAAUAUGUUAGAAAGAGUAAUUUUUUAUUAAAAAAAUUGAAGAAAAGUAGAGUUUUAUUAUAAAUUUUAUACGUGUUACAUUGAAUAUUUAAAAGUAAAGCAAAAAAUUUGGUCUCCGCUAUGUAUAUUUGCUGGCUUCGUCGAAUCAGUUGGAUCGCUGGUAUUGGUGAGAGCGUGAGACAUUAAAGGGAGAUGGGCUGAUCAGAUCAGCUUGGUUGAUAAUGUCUAAAUCCAAUUCCUUAACAAGGAAUUGAUUUUACUCAUGAAAAAAGAGUGAUUAAAAAAAAAGUUUGCAGAAAGUCAAGACUCAAACCCCAUUCUUAUCAAGUCUUCCACUACUCUAUGCACAAUUCAAAAUACACAAAGACCAACCAAAAAGUUCUUGGAAGUAAUCAAAUAAAUGAUACUCUCCAAGUUCUUGUUCUCAAAUCAAACAAGUUUUAUGGUCUUAUAAACACGAGUUCCAAGAUUGUACACCCAUUUCCUAGCUUGACUGCUUGAGAAUCAUUGAUCUUUCGUACAAUGAGUUUUCAGGUGCACUGCCAGAAGAAUAUUUCAGAAACUUUAAGGCUAUGAUGAAUGCGGAAGUGAAUAAGAUAUAUCGUAGCUAUAUGGAGCAAGAUUAUUACACUGAUUCCACAGCUCUAGUGAUUAAAGGCAUGGAAAUUAAUUUAAAAAGAAUAUUGACUGUGUUCACAACUAUUGAUGUAUCAAAAAACAAUUUUGAUGGGGAGAUAGCUGAAUACUUUGGAAAUCUGGUAUCACUCAGAUUUCUUAAUCUUUCUCACAAUUAUCUCACAGGCCAUAUACCACGCUCGAUUGGAAAAUUGACUGUGCUGGAGUCACUAGGCCUCUCAUCCAACCAACUUGAAGGAGAAAUUCCUCAGCAGCUCACUAGUGUAUAUUCACUUGCAGUUCUCAAUCUGUCUUGCAACCAACUUAGAGGACGUAUUCCAGAAGGGUGGCAAUUCGAUACGUUUGAAAACAGCAGCUACGCUGGUAACUUUGGGCUGUGCGGACAUCCCUUGUCGAACAAGUGUGAAUCUUAUGUUAGGACACAAAAAGAAGACGAAGAAGAUGAGGAUGAAUGUCACUUUUUCUGUGGUUUUACUUGGGAAGCAGUGGUGAUUGGAUAUGGGUGUGGAGUGGUGCCUGCAUUUAUCACUGGGUUACUGAUGUUGCUGGCACGGAAGCCAAAAUGGUUCGAUGGAAUCAUUGGCAGGGAAUUGGGGCUCAAGAUCAGGAGGAUGGAGAUUAGAAUGCGAUACUAAAGGUUUGCUGUAAUCUGUAUCCCAUUCCCAGGUCUUGAAUAUUCUGUAAUAAUAUAGUAAUAUGUGCUCUCAUAUAAUUCUAUAUUUGCAGAUUGGAGAGGCAUGAACAUUUUGGCAUGUAAGUUGAUGGGACAAGCAGGUUUCAGAUUCAUUGGAAUCAACCACUACUUCAGCUGUUUUGCAUCUUUUGUGAUUUUAAAUUUUACAUUUUACAAUAAAAGUAAAAAAGAUACAAGCUCCAUGGACAAGUUUUGUAUUGUGUAGUUCCAGCCUCAGGCUGAUGGUUUAUAAUGUACAAUUUACAAUAUAUCACAAUUUGUAAUAUACAGUACCAGAUGAUUUUAUGGCCAAAUUAUCCUUAAUCGCUUUCAUGAACUAAUGGAAAUUUGUAAAAGCGGGUCACAUUUGCAGUGAUGCCGCUAUUUUUCCUGAAUAUUCCUAGUUCUGAAGAUUGUCUAAAUCAUGUUAGUAGCUGCCAUCAGUGAAUGCAUUCAACGGCUUACUGAAACUGGUAGAGAUACUAAAUUCACAAGUUAUUGAUAGAAUAGAAGAUGACAGAGUGUCCAUGCGUCAGUUUAAGGAUCGAGAUGUGUAGCCGUGACUUGUAUUUUAAAAUUGCACAAGAUGCUUUACAAUGGUAGCAGAGGGCUGCGGAUUUAUUGGGUUAGUUGGAAGCACUCAAGUCGAAUUGGUUGUAGCAGAGCAAGAAGCUGAGCACGACCAUAAGAAUUUGAACUCUGAGGCUAAUUUGACUCUACUUGUAAGCCUUCCACUAGACAGCAAGGUUAGGAGAAAGAUUGAGUCGAUGUAAGCCUUCCUCUGACGCCUGUGACAGAUCAAUGAGGCAUGAAAGUUGGGAACAGGGGACGAUUGGCGUAUUGGAAUGGAAGUGGAAAACUUCUUCAGAGCCUGAUGCUCUCGGAGAUACAAUCUAAUGAAAAAGCGUAAUGAUGAUCAUGACUCCGCCCUUGCUCUAAAUCAGUAAGAUCAACCUCUCUACACAAUUCACUAAUACCACCUCUUUAUAACAUUCUCACUCCUAGGUGAUGAAUAAAGUAUCAAGAAACAUAUUUUGUAUAAUGAAUUAUAUUUUUUAUUAUAUUCCUUUUUUUAAAAUAUAUUGCGUAUUACACUGUUUAUUAAUUCUAUUUGAAGCAAUUAAUUAAUUUUUAGCCGUAAUUUAACUUUCAAGGUAGCAUUAUCAGCAUGAGGAAUAGGCAGAGCUUCCAGAUGCUCUCUUCUGAUAGAUAUCAUUCAGCACUUGCUCUGAGUUUGUUGAUCAACCACGCGAUGUUGUAGGCAGCUCCUAUCUUAUCUGCAAUCAAGUUAAUGAACCACUACCUCAGUUGUUAAGCAUCUUUCAACAUUUCACAUUUUUGAGCAUUUAAUUAAUUAGUCAUCAGUCUUGUAUUUAGCUUGAUCGAACAUAAUUGUUCUCUUCAAUUUCUUUGCCUACUUGUCGACGUGUUUAUGUAGCGUGUCUCUACUCUGUAGCUUACACAUCAUUGAUUCAUGUUAUUUUCCCCUUAGGAACUUGAGAGACAUUUGGCAUCAAAAGAAGCUUCUCUCCCGCAAGAACCAUUUUCCCCUUAUGAACAUUUGACAUUUUGGUGUUGCUGAGAGCGCAGCGACUUUUGAUGAACUCGGCCUGUCUGGCAGACAGGAGGCCUUGUUUCUGGAGUUAAUAUAGCGGAUCUCGAAGAGUUUACCCAGAUGGACCAACUUUGUUUGUUAGUUGGAUGUAAAAGUUGUUUAGAGACGGGUAUUUUGUCGAAGUUUGUAUCUAUUGGGUAUUUCGUCUUUUAGUCAGACUAUGGCUCAUACAGUUUCAUACAGUUUGAAGUUGAUAUCAAAUCUUAGAUUAAAUUACUGAACAUUGUUUCUUGAAUUCGAUAUCGAAUUUUAAACGAAAAUAUGUUCAGUUCUAAUUUAAAAGUUAUGCAAAUUACAUUAAUAAUAUGUGGCCCUGUUUGUUUACCAAAAGCAGAAGCUGCUUCUGGCUUCUGCUUUUCUUGACCCGUUUGUGUAAAGAAGCAGAAGCACUUUUAAUAAACUGAGAAUCCUAACUUCUCUCUCACAGCUUCGGCUUCUUUUCCAAACACUUUAUUCACUUAUUUACUUCUCACUUCUGCUCCACUUCUCUAGUUUAAGCAAGAAGUCACUUCUUUUAAGCUUGCCCAAACGGCCCCAUAAUCUAUUUUGAGUCUCUUGGUCUUCGGUCUUCUAUUGCAGCAUAUCAUGCACAUCUCAAAUGAUUGAAAAUGAACUCUCUCCAAAAGACAAGGGGGUCUGUUGAAGUAGACCUGGAAUUGAUUUUACUUGAAGAAACAAUAAUAGGUCACCUUUUAAAGUUUUGGUCUUUGUCUUUUAUCUCUUAAAGUCUUUGUCGUUUACAUCUCAUACAAUUUGCUAUCGUAUUUAACACUUCACACAAUUCCAUGCUAUCGUAUUGAACACUUCACACAAUUCCAUAAUAUUGAAGAUUUUUGGCUUGAAAUAUUCUAGAGAAUAAGGUUGUACAUAAAAUUCAAUAAUUUAUUUCCUUUCCUUCAAUAUUACAACUCAUAUAUUUGUUGCCAAUGACUCAUUCAAUUCGCAUCAAUUAUUAUCAUCUUCACUUUAUCAAAGAGUCUUGCUCUUCGUCCUUUACAUGCUUUUAUUACGAUCCCCAUGUGCUUUGAAAAUACUUGUGUUAUAGUCCACAUCAAUCAAUACUCCUUAUUAAUAAGCGAAACCACAUUUCAGUGGAACAUCGGUACUAAAAGUACCAAAUUUGAUCAUCUUAUAUCAUAUUUAAUUAUUAUUAUUAUUAUACUCCUAUUAAAAGUAUUAUAUUAUCCUUAGGAGAUUUAUAUUGGUCAGGAAUUUAUAAUAUUUUAAGAUAUUAUAAUUAAAGACGACUUCUAUAAUUAUUAGGAUUUUAUAAUUAAUAUAAACUUCUUACUUAAUAAUGAUAAUCAUUAAACUAUUUUGAAAAAAUGUCGUAUUGGUUAGAAUUUUAUAAUUUUAUUAUAUUAUAAUGAAAAGACUUUCAUAUUUAUUAUGAUUUUAUAAGUAAAUACUUUAAUAUUGGUUAGGAUUUUAUAAUUAUCUUGAUAUUGAUUAGAAUUUUAUAAUUAAAGACUUCAAUGUUAUACUAUUAAAAAAAGAUUUCUAACGUUGUUAGGAUUUUGGAAUGCAACAGUUAUACCACCAAUAAAAUUAUUUAUUUUAAAUUCUUUAAACUCAAAUAAUUUAAUUUAUGAAACAACUCUGUAAAACUCCUAUCAUAUUUCAGCAUUCAAAUAAAUAAAGAUUUAUAUUGAUAUUACUUUUUAUUAAUAUGCCAUAUUUUUCUUUAGUGGAAGAACAUGAGUACCAAAUACCGAAUUAUCAAAAUUUGGUUAAUAUCAUGUAAUUUUAACAUUGUCGUACUCUUCACAAUAUAAUAAUAUUAUUAUAAUAACGGAAAGGGGGUGGUAGCACUAUCAUGAUAAAUGCAAAUUCCAAUGAGAAUAAAAUUACUGUGAAAAUUUUAUAAAUAAAUUAAUUUUAAAUUUAUUUAAUUUAUAAUCUCUAUUAUAGUUUUAUAUUAAUUUGAAAAAUAUCUAUUAAUAUUGAAUAUACAAGAACUUCAAUUAGUGUUACACUUAAUAAUAUUUAUUAGACGUCUAAAAUAACUAUGAACUAAAAAAAUUAAGUUUUAUUAAAAAUGGUUGAAUUUUUUUUCCAUCUAUUUAGAAUAAAAACAACAUAAUAAUUUUAUUAAAAUGAAACUUACCAUUUUAAAAUAAAUUCAUAUAAUAACAUAUAUCCUGAGAAUGUUUAUUUUGAAAAAUAAAACUUAAACAUAAUUAAAUAUUAAUAUGUUAAUGCAUAAUAAGUUUUGUAUCUCAACAAUAAUAAUUUAAAUAACUAUAUCAAAAAUAUUAUAAUUCCAAUAAAUAAUAAACUUAAAAAAUUUAUAUAAUCCCGUGCUUGGCACNCAAAAAUAUUAUAAUUCCAAUAAAUAAUAAACUUAAAAAAUUUAUAUAAUCCCGUGCUUGGCACGGGUUAUAGACUAGUAUUGAUAAAUAGACAAAUUACAAUAUUUAGUUCAUUAAUGAAGAGAUAAGACAUUCAUGUGUAUGUAUUUGAAAAAUAAAAUAUUAUGAAGCUAAAUGAAUAAACACUUCUGAAAAGUAAAACCCGUUUCUGGUCCAUUUUGUAGCUUGAAGAAAUGAAGCAGAAGUCAAGAUUUCCUUGAAGAAACAAAAUUUUAUAAAAGUUAAAAACAAUUCGAUAAUUAUUGUCUUUUUAAAAAACGGAGCACGCAACACUCUUUUAUAUCAUAUUUCAAUUCUUAGAGUCUUCCUUCUACUACUCCAAAAGUGGUUCUAUUAUAGGCCACAUAUUAAUAGAUCGAUACAAAUUUAUUAAAAAGAUCCUUAUUUUCAACAAUCAAUAUCAGUUUGACUACAAAUUUAUCUGAAAUGACCCUUGUUAAUGGACUCUAGCUUAUAGGGUCAAACUUGGCUAUACAUGCCUCGGAGAAAAUUCACCAGUUCGUAGAAGAGACCUUUCUGCUAUCAACUCUAUGAAAAAUGCAGCACUUAUCAUCUAAAUAAAAAUCAGUAAGACUAUCUUAGAUUCUCUGAAGUGUUUAUAUUGCAGCCGCUUGUAUUGAAUACACACAUAAAUAACCACACAUAAUCAGCAAGGUUCGAAUUUUUUUGGUUUAACCAUAUCACCAACAUGAAGAAAAGACUUUCAAGCGUCAUAAUAGCUAAGAGCUUUUAUUUUCAGGAUAACCCCGGUCUAGAUUAUUAUAAAAAACUUGUUUAUAUGGAGACAUAAUAAAGGUCCCAGAAUUUUUUACUCUUCAAGAUUUCCGUUUCUAGCCAAAUUUUUUGACCAUAAAUAAUAUAUUGGUUUUACCUGAAAACAAAAUUUAAAGAAAAUUCAAAUUUUUUUAUUACUUCUUUUCUUUUAUUAUUACUUCUUUUCUUUUAUUUUGAAAUUGCAAAACAGCUCAAAGUAGUUCUAAAAGAAUCAUUCUCCCCGCUAGAAUCAGUUACAAUUAAGGUUGACAAGAUGUUUUAGCUGCGAGUUCUUCAAAUUAUUGCUCGUAAGGUCCACGACAGCUUAGAUAGUCACCAAAACUUUGGCCUGUGGAUUAAGUUGAUGAAAUCUAGUGUAUUAGAAUCAAUGACAGCACUAUUUUAUGGGAUUGAUGCUCACUCUUCAUAUUAUGUGUUUUUCUAAUGUGUGUGUCCAAAUACACACAAUAAACACUAAAUUUGAUAAAAAAUCGUAAUAUUAGUCAUUCCGCUCAUAAAUUUCAAGUGGAGAAGAAAGAGUUUCUCAAAAAAAAGUGGAGAAGAAAGAGCAUCGUGAUUGUCAUUGUACCCUUAAAAUUUGUUCGAUUAGGUUUUUUACAUAGUUUGCGCGUGGUCAUCUGGGUAUGCCUUCAUUAUAUUAAGCCAAUCUAGUAAUUCCAUAUUAAACAAGUUUAAAAUUUUCAAAUUUUGAUCUUAAUAAAAUUGAAAAAAUAGUGAACUUUUUCUUAUUUAUGAUAUUAACAAAUCUCUUACUUUUUUAUUACUGUAUUCAACUAAAUAUUUUUUACAAACCCUCAUAAAUGCAUCACAUCAGUUAUGAAAUUUAAAACAAAUAUAUCCAAUUUCUUCGAGAAAGAUGGUUGUAUAAUUUUUAAUUAAAAAAUUUAAUUAUUUUUAUUUUUAACAUAAUUUACAACUAAAAAAAUAUUAUAUGUUCACUGCUUUGUAAUAUAAUUAAAUAUAUCUUAAAUACAGUUUUUCCUAUAUAUAUGCUAACCUCGAGAGACGUUGAAGAUCAUCCCAAACAAAAUUUGAAAGGGAAAAUGAAAAUGAGGAAUUGCAACCUCUGUUUUUUCACCAUCAGUAUGAUGCUCAUCUUCUUGCAGUUGCAGCACCACCUGGUGGCUUGUUCAUUAAGCCCCCACUUGCAGAAACUUGCCUUGUUCCACUUUAACCAAACCUUCACAAUCACUCCUGGGGAUUGCGAGUAUUAUUCCUACAAAGACGAAGAAUUUUACGAAAUUCCUUCACGGGCAAAGACAAAGAACUGGAGCAUGAGUUCUGAUCACUGCACAUGGGAUGGAGUUAGCUGCGACGACAAGACGGGGGACGUAAUUGGACUGGAUUUAACUUGCGGUCAGCUGGUAGGAGCCAUACACUCAAACAGCACUCUUUUCCAACUCUCUCAUCUUCGCUUCCUCGACCUUUCUUACAAUGACUUUUCCCUCUCCGAUCAGUUCCCUCAGGAAUUUGGCUUCUUUGCAAAAGGAUUGACGCAUCUCAACCUCUCUCGUACUGGAUUAUCAGGGAGAGUUACCUCAGGAAUCUCUCAUUUGCAUAAACUGGUCUCACUUGAUCUCAGUGAGAACUUUGAAGCUGAACUUGAAGCAGAAGUGUUUAAAUCACUAUUGCAGAAUUUAACGCAUCUCAGAGUGCUUAAUCUUCAUGAAGUUAACAUCCCAUCUGUUUUGCCGGUGAAUAUCUCUACUUCUCUAAGAGUUCUUCAAUUGUCGUAUACUCAUAUACACGGAGUAGUACCGCAAGAAGUUUUCCACCUUCCCAACUUGGAAUUACUUGAUUUAUCAAAUAAUCACGACCUGAGAGCUACAUUAUCCAAAGUUAAGUGGGGAAGUAAAGCUACUCUCCAAUACCUUCAUCUUUCAUACAUCAACAUAGAUGGAGGUAUACCUGACUCAAUAGGCUUUUUGGAGUCAUUAGUCAGUUUAGAUCUGCUCGACUGUAAUUUGUCUGGGACGAUGCCAAGAUCCAUUGGACACCUCGUUCAACUUACUCACUUGGACCUCUCUUUUAAUAAUCUCAAUGGCCCAAUUCUAACUUUUUUUACAAACCUUACUGACUUAAGAUAUAUGUCCCUUGGGCUUAACAAUUUUACUGGUCCGUUUCCCUCUUUUCUUGCCCACUCUAGUAAACUAGUUGAGUUGUAUCUUUAUGGUAAUAGGUUUACUGGAUCCGUACCUCGUUCGUUGUUUCACCAUCCAUCGUUAGAGUUCUUGAAUUUGGCAUAUAAUGCAUUCACAGGUCAACUCCAUGAAUUUGAUUCUUCUCGAUCUCGGCUGCAAUCUUUUUCUUGUUCCAGCAAUUUACUCUAUGGAUCCAUUCCUCAUUCAUUUUCUCAACUUGUGAAUCUCACUGAACUAGACUUUUCAUCAAACAGUUUCAGCGGGGUUUUGGAUUUGGAAAUGUUUUCAGGCCUCGGAUUUCUAAAACGUCUUGAUCUUUCUCAUAACAGUCUUUCAGUGAGAAGUACAAUUACGGACACUCUCCCUCCCAAUCUUUACCACUUGGACUUGUCAUCAUGUAACAUGAAAGAGUUUCCUCACUUUUCAAGAGAUGCACACAUCUUCCUGGAUUUUGUAGACCUAUCAAACAAUGAAAUUGAAGGGGAAAUUCCACACUGGAUUGGGUCGAUAGGGAGGUACUCUGUCUACUAUCACAUCCCCUAUCUGAAUCUUUCUCACAACAAACUAAUAGGCGGUCUUGAGCAAUUGCCUUGGGGUCAUAUUAGGUUUCUUGAUCUCCAAUACAAUAAGCUGAAUGGAUCAUUGCCCACCUUGAUGUGUAAUUCCAGCUCUCUUUAUAUUCUAAAUCUCUCUCACAACAAUUUGAGUGGUGUACUACCCAGUUGUCCUACAAAUUUGACUCGUCUUUCAGUGUUGGAUCUGCGGAGGAAUAAAAUUCAGGGAAACAUUCCAGCAACCUUGUCAAAUUUCCGUAACCUGGAAACUAUUAAUUUGAAUGGAAACCGAUUACAAGGAAGCAUUCCUUCUUCUUUUGCUGAAUUUGAUUCUUUAGCCAUUCUUGAUCUUGGAAAUAAUAAGAUAAAUGAUACAUUCCCCCGGUGUUUGGAAGCUCUUCCAAAUCUUCAAGUUCUUGUUCUCAAAUCAAACAAGUUUUAUGGUCUUAUAAACACUAGUUCUAAGAUUGUAUACCCAUUUCCUAGAUUGAGAAUCAUUGAUCUGUCGGACAAUGAGUUUUCCGGUCCACUGCCAGCGAAAUACUUCAGAAACUUCAAGGCUAUGAUGAAUAGUGAUGUAAGCAAAAUAGAUCGCAGUUAUAUGAAUUAUAGUUCCUAUUACAGUGAUUCCACGACUCUGGUGAUUAAAGGAGUAGACAUGGAGUUGGUAAAGAUAUUAACUAUUUUUACAACCAUGGAUGUCUCAAGGAACCAUUUUGAAGGGGAGAUUGUAGAAUCAAUUGGAAAUCUGGUGUCACUUAGACUUCUCAAUUUAUCUCACAAUCAUCUCAGAGGCCGCAUACCAUUCAUGAUUGGAAAUUUGUCAAUGCUGGAAUCACUAGACCUCUCAUUCAACCAACUUGAAGGAGAAAUUCCGCAACAGCUCACCAGUAUAUAUACACUUGAACGUCUUAAUCUGUCAUGCAACCAACUCAGUGGUCGUAUUCCACAAGGUUCUCAGUUUAAUACAUUUGAUAAUGAUAGCUAUGCUGGUAACUUGGGGCUGUGUGGAAAUCCAUUGUCCAAAAAGUGUGAACCUGAUAUUGUGGAGAAAGAAAGUGACGAAGAUGAGGAUGAUGAUUACUUCUUUAGUGGAUUUACUUGGGAAGCGGUGGUGAUUGGAUAUGGGUGUGGAGUGGUGCCUGCAUUUAUCACUGGCUACCUGAUGUUGUUGGCACGGAAACCAAAAUGGUUUGCUGGAAUCAUUGGCAGGGAAUUGGGCCUGAAGAUCAGGAGGAUGGAGAUUAGAAUGCGAUAACUAAAGGUUUGCUGUAAUCUAUAUCCCAUUUGUAGGUCUUCAAUAUUCAGUAAUAAUAUAGUAAUAUCUGCUAUCAUAUAAUUCUAUAUUUGCAGAUUGGAGAGGCAUGAACAUUUUGGCAUGUAAGUUGAUGGGACAAGCAGGAUUCAGAUGCACAUGAAUCAACUACUUCGGUGUUGUAGGCAGCUAGGUUAAUAAACCACUACUUGAGCUGUUAAGCAUCUUUGGUCAUUUUAAAUAUAAAUUGUACAAUAAAAGAUACUUACUCUGCACAUAUUCUAAGUUCCAUAUACAAGUUCUGUAUUGUUUAGUUACUCUGCACAAACUCUAAGUUAGUUUCAACCACUGGGGUGUAAGCAGCCAAGUUAAUAAACCAGCAGUUUCUGUAGCUUUCACAACGUUGCUUCAUAUUAUUUUCCCCCUUGUUAGAUGAGCAAUAUAUUUGUGGAAUGGAUGUACCUGAAUUUGGUAUCCGAAGCUUAGUUAUAGAAAUUGUAGAUCAGCUAGUUUGCAACUUACUGGAAUGCUUUCCAUUGGACUUGAUUUACUCGUAGAGAAGCAGCACGCAAUGUUAAGGAAGGCCUGAUACAUAAUGUAUUUAAGAUAAUGUUUUGCAUCAAUUAUUACAAAAAGCUACUACUUUAAAUUGAUGAACAUUUACUAUAGCAGUACUGUGGUAUUAAAGUGAGUACUAAUAUUAGUGGCGGAGGCAGAACACAAUGUUAGGGGGGCACUUUUUAAUUUUUAACAUUCUAGGGGCAAUUUUUAACAUUCCAGGGGACACAAAAAAUAAUAUUUUGUAGAUUAAUAUUAUCAAAUAGAGUUAAGUUCUAUGGAGUACAUAAAAACAUUAGAGUAUUGGAGUACAAAUCAUAAUUUUUUUUAGUUUGAUUCUAUAUAAUAUCUUUGAAUAUCCAAAUUUUGAUAUAAUCUAUCAUUUAUAAGUUGUGUUGCACAUAAUUGUCAAUUAAUCAUUAAUAUCUUUCAACUUUAACAAAGAUUAAGAUUAUUGUUCUGCUUAUUAGUUAUAUUGCAGAACAUAGAGUCCUAUGAUUUAUAAAAGUAAUUAUUCUACCAUUUGAUCAUGAUGUUUAUGUUGCAGAACAUAAUGUGCAGGUUGUCAAAUAUUUACAAAUAUUAUUGGACAAAAAAAUUGAAAUUUAGAUGACUAAAUUACAUUUUAUCAAACUUUGUACUCCAAUACUCCAAUUUUUUUUUGUACUCCAUAGAACUUAACUCUUAUCAAAUAUAUGGAUCUUAUAUAAAAACAUACACAUUUUUCUGAAACUUAUGAGGGCAUGGGCACCCAGAGGCCCCCAUGUCCCUCCGCCUCUGCUAAUAUAAGAUGUUAGUCGAGUUCGAAGAAGUUUUGGAAUUCUUUUUAUUGAGAGUUUUUGCAAAACGUGGUUAGGAAAUUGAGAAUUUUGAGUUUUAAAAUUAGCUGUAAAAAAUAAUCGGUCAAUUGUAUUAGAUAUUACAUGCAUUUGAGUUUUAAAAUUAGGUGUAAAAAAUAAUGGGUCAACUGCAACAGAAAUGAAUUGGUUUGGUUUCACCCGGAAGAGUUCUGCACUUCACACUCUAGAUUCCAGAAAUAAAAAAAUUCAAAUAUAAAAUGUCAAAUAUUUUAGUUUAUACUCCCUCCGUCCAUUUUAGAUUUUUAGUUGUCACUGCCGGUCAAAUUGACCAAAAUUUGACUAAAAUUUAUUAAUAUUUUAUUAAUUGAAAAAAUAAAAAAAUUAUGUUACCACAAAUUACUUUCAAUCUACAUGAAAUUUUCAAUUUUUUAAAAUAAUGAAGAAGUAACUUGUAAUCUUUGAUCAAAAAUUAGUUAAUUUGACAUAAAAAAAAAAUUGUUACAACUAAAAUGGACCAAGGAAGUACAUAAGAUUUGCUAGUUACCUGCUUACCUUCACUCCUUAUGUCUUAAGCCACUCUUUAUUAUUUUUGAUUACAUAAUAAAUAUGUUUAAACUUUUAACUUUUUAUAUUUAAUAAAUUUAUAUAAUUUAAUUAUUAAAUUUUUUGAUUUGUAUUAAGUUUAAUUUAUAGAUACAUUUAUAUCAAAAUUACUAAAAUCAAUCAAAAUUUUAAUAUUUUGAUUCAGUAACCAGAAUAUAAAUAUAUUUAACUUUUGAAAUGAUAUAUAAAUAGUUUAUGAUUAAAAAAAAUUAAUAAGUAACUUGCACAAUUUCUCUUAAUUACAGUAAUAAAUCUCUUAUUAGUACUUUCAACUAAAUAUUUCUCCCAAACACUUAUAAUUUAUGUCCAAUUUUCAUAUUAUUUCUUUUAGAAAGAUUGUUGUAUUAUUUUAAAUUUUAGUAAUUAAAUCAGUUUUAUUUUUAUGAAUUCCAAAUUUAAAAACCUUAAUAUUUUUGUCACGCUACUUCUUAUUUGUAAUACAAAUUAUUUCUAGAUAAAAUUAAUAUAUUAAUAAAUAUAGUGUAAUUAACUACAUAUAAUACAUUGAAAUUAAAUAAAUAUGCUCUGUACAUUUUUUUCACAUGCAAAAAACUGCACUGUUUCGGUUUAAGCAAAGCUUGAUAAUCAGGACUCCUAGCUGGAAUGGCGAGUAUUAUUCCUACGAAGAAGAUGAUGUUCAUGAUAUCCCUUCACCCCCAAAGACAAUGAAUUGGAGCAUGAAUUCUGAUUACUGUGCAUGUGGGAUGGAGUUAGCUGCGACGAGAAUACAGGGGACCUAACCGGACUGGAUUUAAGCUGCAGUCAUCUGGUGCAUUGGAAUGAAAUUAUAGAACUUCUUCAGAGCCUGAUGCUCUCGAGGAUGCAGUAAUGAACAAGCCUAAUGAUGAUCAUGAGUCAUAACUCCGUCCUCGAGAGCCUGAUGCUCUCGAGGAUGCACUAAUGAACAAGCCUAAUGAUGAUCAUGAGUCAUAACUCCGUCCUUGAAUAAAGUGUCAUGAAACAUAUUUUGUAUUACAUUUUGUAUUAUUGGAAACUUGAUUUGAAACCAAAAUAGUUUGGUGGAAUCAUUGCCAGGGUAUUGGGUCUGAAGAUCGAGGAUGGAGAAUAAAUUGAUUUUGUUCAAAUAUUUAACACAAGCCCAUCAUCAUUAUCCAACACAAGCCCGGUCCAGUAUAGAGUUCUGGCAACUCCAUUGUUGAACACUUCUGUUGAAGUUGGCCUGUCUGGCAGACAAGAGGCCCUGUUUUAGAGGUGAUAUAUGCGCACAGGUAAAAAAUGUAUAUUUCUUCCAAUAGAUUACAUCUCUUUUCUUCAAAAUUUAUUGUAGUUUCAAAAAGUAGCAUUUGAGAACUCAUUCUAUUCCCCUUUUAAAUACUUGGUCUUGGUCAAUACAAACACGAUUAAGACCGGUGUCAAUAUCCCUCAUAAUUUUUCCACUCCUUUGAAUGGCAUUCUACAAUCCACAUAUCAGACUCAUAAAUAAUUAGUUGAAAUCAUUACCAUAGUCCAUAGCGAAAAGACUUUCACCAUUGAACCAUUGCAUAGAUAAUUGAAGAAAGAAACUUCAACAUAUUUGCAUAUCUUUAUCUAUCUUUUUUUCUAGUCAUCAACAGGCACAAGCUGUUGAUUUUUAUAUGUUCUUAAUUGGUAUAAGCAUUUAAGGUGAGUGUUGAUAUUUCUCACUAAUCUUCUUCUGCUCUAAGUGACAUAUUAUUACAAUCCACAAAUUAGUAGACAGACUAAUAUGGUUAGUUGAGACCAUCAAUCUGGAGAACAGACUAAUACAUGUGUAGUAAUCUGAUCAUCAUUUAUUUGAUUACAAUAGAAAUUCGGCUUUGUUUAGUUCCAUCCUCGGGCUCUUCAUUUCUAAACAUAUUUGCUGAUACUUUUUAUUGUACAAUUUAGAAUAUUCCAUAAAAUUUUAUAUUCGGUGCUAGAUGAAUUUAUGUCUUGUUUUCAUUCCAUUCAUGAACUAAUGAAAAUUUUAAAAUUGGGUCAUAUUAGGCAGUGAUGCCACCUUUCUGGACCUGCAUUUCAUGACCACAAACUCCUAUUGUGCCAAAAAAUUCCAGCUGUUUCGUGAGAUUUUUCUACGUGCUCUUUUGUUCGGACUUGUUUGCUGAAUCCCACAAUAGACAAUAUUGAUGUUAACAACUCUUGCGUCAGUUACUAGACUCGUUGUUAGUAGCCCAUUCUUUACGGCAGACGUGGAAUUUACUUGAAGAAAUGAAGGUGUAAGAACAGGGGCGGAUCCAGCCUUCGCAUCUCACCCGGGCUGAAAGCCUGAAACACUUAUAACCUUGAAGGUAUACAGUGGAGGUGAAGAGGGGAAAAAAAUAUAUAUGGUACUGACAGUGACAUGGAAAUAUGGAUAUUAUUCUUUUAACCUGCUGCAGGGACUAUCAGCUGGUAAAUUCAUGUCAAAUCAAUUUUUUUGACNGCCGAGACGAGUCGGCGAGACGGCCGAGACGAGUCGUCGACGUGCGAGACGAGUUGGCGCGAGACGGGCGAAGCGAGACAUCUCCGAGACGAGUCAUGCGUGCGUGCCGAUACGUACGAGCCGAGACGAGGCGUCCACGUUUUCUCAAACCCAGGCUCGUGAUCGCCUCGUCUAUUUNACUAUAACUAAUAAUUCAUGUCAAAAUCAAGAUUAUAAAAAUUAAUAAUAUGACUACAAAAAUAAAAUAUAAACGUAAGGUAAUAACAUAUGGUAAACCUGAAUAUAUUUUAGUAACAAUUGUUUUGACAUAGUUAGAUUAAGGGAUUAAAUUAUUAUAUAAAAUAAUAAAAGUAGCUAUAUAUUAAAAAAAUAAAGCUAUAUUUAUAUAAUUAGUUUAAACACGUCAAAAGGUCAAAAAGCAAGAUUAAACCGCUUAGCUUAUAUAAACACCAUGACCGACUGUUUGACCUAAACUAAACAAAUUUAUAUUUAAAAUACAAAAUUACAUGAAUAAAACCGAAAUAGGGUUACAAUUCAUAAAAGUUAACAGCAACUCUGGUUAAUUAAUAAAGUUCCAGACCCAAAACUGAGAAAAGUGUCGGGCUUUUUAAAAUUUUAGACCGGGCUAAAGAUCAGUAAACUUUCGUCGAGGCUGGUAAAAUUUUUUGUAUCAUAAAACUCACCCGGGCUUUAGCCCACCGGAGCCCAUACAUAGAGAAAGUUGAGAACAUUUUGUUGAUUAUUCCCUUCCCUAGAAACUGCACUCCGCCAUCAAAGUACCUUUCAAAGACUCCAGCAUCAUUUCUUGAUUAUCAAAGUCUUCGUCUUUGUCAUCUCCUGCUCUGAAAGUGUUUCUAUUGCAGACCACAUAUUAGUAGACAGACUACUAAAAUUCAUCUAAAAUGACCUCUCUGCGUGGGCUCUUUUGAACAAUCAGGGUUGGACAUGAUUCUACACGCAUCAGAGAAAAACUAUCAGCUGGCUAAANUCUUCAAAAUUUAUUGUAGUUUCAAAAAGUAGCAUUUGAGAACUCAUUCUAUUCCCCUUUUAAAUACUUGGUCUUGGUCAAUACAAACACGAUUAAGACCGGUGUCAAUAUCCCUCAUAAUUUUUCCACUCCUUUGAAUGGCAUUCUACAAUCCACAUAUCAGACUCAUAAAUAAUUAGUUGAAAUCAUUACCAUAGUCCAUAGCGAAAAGACUUUCACCAUUGAACCAUUGCAUAGAUAAUUGAAGAAAGAAACUUCAACAUAUUUGCAUAUCUUUAUCUAUCUUUUUUUCUAGUCAUCAACAGGCACAAGCUGUUGAUUUUUAUAUGUUCUUAAUUGGUAUAAGCAUUUAAGGUGAGUGUUGAUAUUUCUCACUAAUCUUCUUCUGCUCUAAGUGACAUAUUAUUACAAUCCACAAAUUAGUAGACAGACUAAUAUGGUUAGUUGAGACCAUCAAUCUGGAGAACAGACUAAUACAUGUGUAGUAAUCUGAUCAUCAUUUAUUUGAUUACAAUAGAAAUUCGGCUUUGUUUAGUUCCAUCCUCGGGCUCUUCAUUUCUAAACAUAUUUGCUGAUACUUUUUAUUGUACAAUUUAGAAUAUUCCAUAAAAUUUUAUAUUCGGUGCUAGAUGAAUUUAUGUCUUGUUUUCAUUCCAUUCAUGAACUAAUGAAAAUUUUAAAAUUGGGUCAUAUUAGGCAGUGAUGCCACCUUUCUGGACCUGCAUUUCAUGACCACAAACUCCUAUUGUGCCAAAAAAUUCCAGCUGUUUCGUGAGAUUUUUCUACGUGCUCUUUUGUUCGGACUUGUUUGCUGAAUCCCACAAUAGACAAUAUUGAUGUUAACAACUCUUGCGUCAGUUACUAGACUCGUUGUUAGUAGCCCAUUCUUUACGGCAGACGUGGAAUUUACUUGAAGAAAUGAAGGUGUAAGAACAGGGGCGGAUCCAGCCUUCGCAUCUCACCCGGGCUGAAAGCCUGAAACACUUAUAACCUUGAAGGUAUACAGUGGAGGUGAAGAGGGGAAAAAAAUAUAUAUGGUACUGACAGUGACAUGGAAAUAUGGAUAUUAUUCUUUUAACCUGCUGCAGGGACUAUCAGCUGGUAAAUUCAUGUCAAAUCAAUUUUUUUGACUUUAUAUAUAUAUAUACUCAUUUACAUAUAAAAAAAAUAUAAAAUUUAAGAAUCUCAAAUAUUGGAGGUAGCCUGAAUAACAUUUGUUUGUCACUAAUACAAUAAAAAUUAAUUUUGUAUGAUCAGCUACAUAGACUAAAUCAUUUUAUUUUAUUUAUUUUAAACUAUAACUAAUAAUUCAUGUCAAAAUCAAGAUUAUAAAAAUUAAUAAUAUGACUACAAAAAUAAAAUAUAAACGUAAGGUAAUAACAUAUGGUAAACCUGAAUAUAUUUUAGUAACAAUUGUUUUGACAUAGUUAGAUUAAGGGAUUAAAUUAUUAUAUAAAAUAAUAAAAGUAGCUAUAUAUUAAAAAAAUAAAGCUAUAUUUAUAUAAUUAGUUUAAACACGUCAAAAGGUCAAAAAGCAAGAUUAAACCGCUUAGCUUAUAUAAACACCAUGACCGACUGUUUGACCUAAACUAAACAAAUUUAUAUUUAAAAUACAAAAUUACAUGAAUAAAACCGAAAUAGGGUUACAAUUCAUAAAAGUUAACAGCAACUCUGGUUAAUUAAUAAAGUUCCAGACCCAAAACUGAGAAAAGUGUCGGGCUUUUUAAAAUUUUAGACCGGGCUAAAGAUCAGUAAACUUUCGUCGAGGCUGGUAAAAUUUUUUGUAUCAUAAAACUCACCCGGGCUUUAGCCCACCGGAGCCCAUACAUAGAGAAAGUUGAGAACAUUUUGUUGAUUAUUCCCUUCCCUAGAAACUGCACUCCGCCAUCAAAGUACCUUUCAAAGACUCCAGCAUCAUUUCUUGAUUAUCAAAGUCUUCGUCUUUGUCAUCUCCUGCUCUGAAAGUGUUUCUAUUGCAGACCACAUAUUAGUAGACAGACUACUAAAAUUCAUCUAAAAUGACCUCUCUGCGUGGGCUCUUUUGAACAAUCAGGGUUGGACAUGAUUCUACACGCAUCAGAGAAAAACUAUCAGCUGGCUAAAGACCUCUCUGCAUCAACUCUAUUAAGAAAAGAAACUAUGGCUCAUACAGUUUAAGUUGAUAUCAAAUCGUAAAUGAGAAUACUUGCAGUUUUAAAUUACUGCACGCUAUUUUUUUUAACGAAAAUAUGUGCAGUUUUAACAUAGUCUAAUUAUUUUCUUGAUGACGGCUAUGCAAAUUGUGAUAGUUGAAUUUUUUUUAUGGUCUUUGACAAGCAUCAAGGAAAUUGUGAUAGUUGAAUUACCCUGAUUGUCAAAAACUACCUCGUAAUCAGAACGGGUUUUUUUUUGAGUUUGUUAAGGAUUCUCUCCAGGCAAAAGUUUCUCUUAUGCAGUUGAAGGUGAAAAUUAAGUCGUUGAAGAGGAAAUAUAAGUCUCUCAAAGAUUAUGAUGUUGUGUUUGACAAACCCAUGGAAGAGGAAUUGUUUCGCCUUUCCGAUAAGGUUUGGAGCCAAGGGAUUGAUAAUCAGGGUAAUGCUGCUAGCAAGGACAAGGAUAUAAGUAUCGAGAUCAAAGAGGAUGGAGUGAUUGAGGACUGUAGGAAGGAUAAGGAUACGAGCAUUGGGAUAAAUGAGGAUGGAGUGAAUGAGGCCGGUAGGAAGGAAAAGGAUACGAGAAUCGGGAUAAAUGGGGAUGGAGUGAAUGAGGACGGUAGGAAGGACAACGAUAUGAGCAUCGGGAUAAAUGGGGAUAUGGUAGAAGCCUCCAGGCUAAUGUGUCGAAGGGGAGGACAUGGAUGCUAUGGAAAUUUAGUUAGGAGGAAAUAUAAAUCAUGCUAACAGGAGCAGAUGAUGAACUUGAUUGCAAUGAAGAACUGAAGUUCCACAACGAGAUGAAGUCGACGAAGGAAGGUAGGAAGGACAAGGAUACGAUCAUCAGUCUUGUAUUUAGCUUGAUCGAAAAUAACUGUUCUCUUCAAAUUCUUUCCCUNUCUCUACUCUGUAGCUUACACAUCAUUGAUUCAUAUUAUUUUCCCUUAGGAACUUGAGAGACAUUUGGCAUCUAAAGAAGCUUCUCUCCCGCAAGAACCAUCACCAGAUGAUGAUAAUGCCGUUAACCUGCUUGUGCGGAUGCCGGAUGGCGGCCGGCAAGGCCGCAGAUUCCUCAAGUCCCACAAGCUUCAGGUAUUUAUUCCGUGACAAUAUUUUUCCAGUUAUUGGUUAAAAGUUGUAUAAUUGGUUGUUACUUGAUUUGCAGCAUCUUUUUGACUUCAUCGAUGUUGGUCGGUUGGUCAGACCUGGUACUUACAGACUGGUAAUCCUUCAUGUGCUUUUUUACCUUUCACACUUAAUUCUUGUGGGGGCACACUUAUAUUUUUACAAAGUUUUAAAUGACGAAUAAAUUCCAAAUAAUUUUUAUGGGGGACAGUCCCCCUUGCUAGAUCCCCUCCUGGUGUCCAAACUUUUUUUACAUUUCAUAAUUGAUUGUCUGGACCGGCAAAGAGCAAUGAAUAUUCAUUUUAGUCACAUAGGAGUGUCGGGGUUUGUAUUGUUGUUAUGCUUGAUAGUAUAUAGAGAGCUUAUUGACUAGUUGACUCAACAUCGUUUCUUUUUCCUUUCCCCCAUCUUCUCUGGUGAUUAAUGUUUGCGUGAUCCCACUAGUCCUUCCGCAAAAAAAAAAAGAAGUUAUAUUGUAUUUUUAAAAUGAAUUGCAUUUCAAACUAUUUGUUUGAUAAGUAGGGUACUCGUGUAAUUUAAUUGUAAUAUCGAUACCUUUUUUUGUAACACCAAAGAAAAAUUAGAAUCUUUAUAGUGUCAGGACUCUUGAUACUUGGUAGAUGCUUGAGAAGAAGGCUGUAUUUGAAGAUAUGGAGAAUGUGGUAACCAUAUGACUAAGGUCAACUAACUUUUGCUUGCUAAAGUGGAACUCUGUCAAAAAUUUAUCUGUAUCUAUCUCUUUUUUGUAGUCAUCAGUAGAUUUACUCUUCCAUAUGUAUCAGGGUCAAGUUGUUGAAAUAUAUCAGUCCUUAAUAGGUGUUAGCACAAUUUAGAUGAGCAAAAUAUUUAAGGAACGUAUGUACUUCAACUUGGCAUGCAAAACGAGUUAUACAAAUGGUAGAUUAGCUAGUUGGUAAUUUAAUGAGAAUCCUUUCCAUUGGACUUGAUUCAUUGAUAGAGAAGCAAAGCACAAUGUUACUUCCUGAUACAUAAUGUAUUUAUGCCUCGUAUAGAUAUAUUAUGAUUGUUAGAAUUAAACAUGUUUUAUUUUGCACAGGCAAGGCCGUAUCCAAGACGGGCUUUUGGUGUUGGUGAGAGCUCAACAACUUUUGAUGAACUUGGCCUGUCUGGCAGACAGGAGGCCUUGUUUCUGGAGUUAAUAUAGCAGAUAUAGUUAUCGUAAAAUUGUAAUAGGAUCUCGAAGAGUUUACCCAGAUGGACCAACUUUGUUUGUUAGUUGUAAAAGUUGUUUAGAGAUGGAUAUUUUGUCAAAGUUUGUAUCUAUUGGGUAUUUGGUCUUUUAGUCAGACUGUGGCUCAUACAGUUUGAAGUUGAUAUCAAAUCUUAGAUGAGAAUGUUUGCAGUUUGAAAUUACUGAACAUUGUUUCUUGAAUUCGAUAUCGAAUUUUAAACGAGAAUAUGUCCAGUUCCACUACAAGAGAAAGCGAUUCUACCAAUGGAAUUUGCUAAGGGAAAUUAGUCCGUUGGUAGUUCCCAACGGAUUUGUAAUGAUUUGACUAGUCAAUGUUCUGCCAACCAAGUCGCAACGAAAUACCCACGUUUAUUUACCAACGAAACGUUCCGUUAAGAAAUAUAACCACAUAAUGGAAUAGUAACAAAAGGCCAAGGAAUGAGCAACAGACUAGUAACGAAAAUAUCUGUUAUUACGUUCAUUGAUAUUCCGUUGAUAAAUACUAACAAUUCCGUUAGUAAUUGAUUAUUAGUUUUAUAACAUGGACAAUUGAUAUACACUACAUGAGCAGUCUCUUAUUUGACAUUUGUGUCAUGCUAAAGCCCAAUGGGCUUUAGUCGAUUAAAUUGAUUUGGGUUGUAGAAAACGGCCAAUAAUAUAAUGGACUUUGAUAUGUAUCGUAAAUAUUAAGUAAUUUUCUUGGAUUUAUGUAUAUAACAUAAUUGUUAAUUGGCUCAUCCUUAACUAGAAAUUUUAUAUUACAUUCUUAACUAGAAAUUUUAUAUUUAAAAAAAAUUAAUCUUUUAUGUGGUAUGUGGAUUUUGUAGUCAAAUGCGGUCAAUUUACUUAGCCUUUGAUCGGAUACCUACCCAAAACAUAAAAAUAUUUUUUAUUUUCGAUGAUCCAGCUAUACGGAUAUUAUUGUAAUGUGAUAAUAUUGAUUAAAUUUUUUUUUAAAAAAGUAGCAUUUUAUUUGGUAUGUGAAUUUUGUAGUCAAAUGCAAUUAAAUUACUUAGUCUCUAAUGGAAUACUUGCCCGAAACAUAAAACUAUUUUCUUAAAACACAAUUUGGACGAUCCAACCAUACAGAUGUUAUUAUAACGUGUUAAUAUUGGUUAAAAUAAUUUUUAAGAAUAUAUGUCUUUUAUUUGGUGUGUGGAUCUUGCAGUCAAAUGCGGUCAAAUUACUUAGCCUUCAAUCGAAUACUUACCCAAAACAUGAAACUGUUUUUUUAAAAAUCAUUUCGGACGAUCCAACCGUACGGAUAUUAUUGUAAUGUGAUAAUAUUGAUUAAAUUUGUUUUUGAAAAAUUUUAGCUUUUGAUUUGGUGCGUGGAUUUUGUAGUCAAAUGCGGUCAAACUACUUGGCCUUUAAUGAAAUACUUACACGAAACAUGAAAUUAUUUUUUUUUAAAACCAUUUUGGAUGAUCCAACCGUGCGGAUGUUAUUAUAACGUGUUAUAUUGAUUAAAAUAUUAUUUAAAAAAUAGCCUUUUAUUUGGUGUGUGGAUUUUGUAGUCAAAUGCUCAAAUUACUUAGCCUUUAAUCGAAUACUUACCUUAAACAUGAAACUAUUUUUAAAAAAAUUAUUUUGGAUGAUUCAAACUGUAGGGAUGUUAUUUUAACAUCUUAAUAUUGAUUAAAAUUAUUUUAAAACAAUUUAGUUUUUUUUUAUGUGUGAAUAUUUUAGUCAAGUACGAUAAAUUAUUUAUUUAGCCUUCAAUGAAAAAUUAAAAAUCCCGCACAGCCAAAAGUUUUCCCUCGUUUUGUGAAUCUUCCCCAGCCAUUUCCCCCCAACCCCAACCCCGAAAUUCACAAAACUCUCCCCCCAAAUUAGCUCGGCCUCUCCCAAAUCUCUAUCUCUCUUUGUAUAUCUUUAGGUGUGUUUUGUAGAGGCGGCCACCUCCAAAGCUUCAAAAUAAUCAAACUUAUCACCGCCGCUGUUCGAGAAUGAAUUUCUUUUAGGAGAUUCGUCGAUUUAGUUAUCAAAUUAGUUACCAUUAGGGUUCUACUCCGAUUUUCAAUAGUAUGAUGUUGGGGUUCGAUUGGUCGAUUGUCAUGUUUUAUAAGUUAUGUGGGUUCGAUUUUGAUGUUUUUACAAUUAGGUUUAUGUAUGUUUUUAUACGGGUUUCAUGUUCAUGUUUCGAUUUGUUGAUUUCCUAUUUUUCCUAUAUGUUAAUUUGUUAUUUGUGUGGAUUUUGGAUUUUGAUGUGUGUGUGUGUAAUGCCCUGUUUUUUUUUCAUUUUUUCAGGUUCGAACACUUCGAUUAGUAGCCGGAAAAACAACUGAUGCGGCAGUAGCGGCUAGCAAGGAGAUGAAUAACAAGAAAAGGCCGAUUUCGAGGUCAUCUCGUGCAAGUCUUCAGGUAUAGUUUUAUUCCUUUAUAUUUUUAAUCGACAUAAAUCUAACAAGUAAUUAUAGUUCUAACAAGUAAUUAUAGUUCUGAAUGGGGAGCUUAUUGUGAAAUUGAAUUGAGGGACAAGUUGUGUUAUUGGUUCCAGUAGAUAAAUUUAUGUUGACACUUGAUAUAUGCAUUUUUCCACUAUGAUGCUCCCUUUGGUUUGCUUAAGGUCAAGUACCGUUACUUAAUGCAUUUACAAGUAUUCCAGAACAAGUUUGUGCGCCAUAGUGCUACCUUAAUCUAUGAAUUUGAUGCCAGGCACUUUAGGUGUUAUCUCUUAUUGAUUUUUUAUUGGAGAGUUUGGGUGUUUUCUGGAAGAAGUAUAUAGUGAGAGCAGAGGUUUUCAUUUUCGUCAUGAUUUACUCUAAUGUUUCUAAUGUUCACCUGUUAACUGCUGUAGAUUUGGGCUUUAUCUAUUUCUACAUAAUUUAUUUUUGUCUUUGUUGCUGCUUCUUGAUAAUUUUCAAUAAUUGAAACUUUUGUUACAAAUAUAUGCUUGCUAGUCAAUUGUAUGUAGAAAUCUCUAACAAAACUUUAACUUUUACCUUUGAAAUUUAGUUACGAAUUUAAAGAAUUUGACUAGAACUUCAGUCGGUGGAUUCUUGACAUUUUUAUGUAAAUCAUAUAGUAUUCAGGAGUUACCCUGUAAAAUGCCCACAAAUCUUAAAUUAAUUAGAAGUCAAGUAAUAAGCUUAAGGCCUCUGAGACUGUGUCUGCAUUCUAGAUUUCAAUACAUUCUAUAUCAUAAUGUUGUUAAACUGCUUUUUAGCAAGUGCUUGAGUUUUUGGUAUCUACAUAUAAGAUUAUCUAAGAUAUCAAUUUAUUCAUGAGAGCAGGUUGAUGACAAGUACCGAUACAUGUGUGAAAAAAAAAAAGAUAACAUGGUCCAUGGAGUUGGUUCUUUGCAAUCUCUCUUUUAUAAGCCGGAGAUUCCUUGCAGUCCAUCCUUUGCUGAUGCAGAAAAUCAGAAGUUGCACGAAGAACUAAAUGUGAUGAAGGAUAAGAUGAAAGCAAUGGAGAAUCAAAUAGCUAUGGUUGUGUUAGUACUAGCUAGUUUUCAAGCCUCGUUAGUAAUUGAUGGCUCCUUUUAGAUAUAAUACUUGAACACUAUUGUAUCGGGUAACUCUUAUCUCAUUUUGAAGAUCGUAAAGAAACGUUUAUUAUGUAAAAAGAGUACACUUUUGUUAUUUCUUUAUUUGCAUUUUUAUAGACAUAAAAAUGAACAAUUCUAGAAAAUGAAAAAUUUGCACUGUAUUUGAGCAUGCAUACCAACAGAAUAUGUUUAUAUCUACUAACGGAAAUUUAACAACCGAAAGAGUCUUUUAGUUCUUUGUUGUUAAAUUUAACAAUUUUGACUAUACUUAACAUCAGAUUUUCCGUUGGGAAUAUGUUGCUAGAAUUGCCAACCGAAUAUUCUGUUGGCGGGAUGGUGUUUCUUUUGUUAUUUUGCAAAAUAGAGGUCUGUUACGAGAUUGUUACUACUCGGUUGCUAACUUAGCAACGGACACCUAAUUCGGUUGGCGAGGUGCUUCCCAACGACGUUUACUCUAACGGUCCAGUUCAGUGGGCAUUCCGUUAGGAAUCUCUUUUACCAACGGAUUUUCUUGAUUUGCCAACAUAAUAUUUCGUUGGGAAUAAUGAAAUUUCUUGUAGUGUUCUAACUUGAAAGUUAUGCAAAUUACGUUAAUAAUAUCAUCAAUUUUGAGUCUCUUGGUCUUCGGUCUUCUAUUGCAGCAUAUCAUACACUUCUCAAGUGAUUGAAAAUGAACUCUCUCCAAAAGGCAAGGGGUCUGUCGAAGUAGACCUGGAAUUGAUUUUACUUGAAGAAACAAUAAUAGUUCACCUUUUAAAGUUUUGGUCUUUGUCUUUUGUCUCUCAAAGUCUUGAUCUUUGUCGUUUACAUCUCAUACAAUUUGCUAUCGUAUUGAACACUUCACACAAUUUCAUACUAUCGUAUUGAACACUUCACACUUCACACAAUUCCAUAAUAUUGAAGAUUUUUGGCUUGAAAUAUUCUAGAGAAUAAGAUUGUACAUAAAAUCCAACAAUUUAUUUCCUUUUCUACAAUAUUACAACUCAUAUAUUUGUUGCCAAUGACUCAUUCAAUUCGCAUCAAUUACUAUCAUCUUCACUUUAUCAAAGAGUCUUGCUCUUUGUCCUCUACAUGCUUUUAUCACGGUCCCCAUGUUAGUGUGAUUUGAAAAUACUUGUGUUACAGUCCACAUAUUGAUAAAUAGACAAAUUAUAAUAUUUAGUUCAUUAAUGAAUAGAUAAGACGUUCAUGUGUAUGUAUUUGAAAAAUAAAAUAUUAUGAAGCUAAAUGAAUAAACACUUCUGAAGAGUAAAACGCGUUUCUGGUCCAUUUUGUAGCUUGAAGAAAUGAAGCAGAAGUCAAGAUUUUCUUGAAGAAACGAAAUUUUAUAAAAGUUAAAAACAAUUCGAUAAUUAUUGUCUUUUCAAAAAACGGGGCACGCAACACUCUUUUAUAUCAUCUUUCAAUUCUUAGAGUCUUCCUUCUGCUACUCCAAAAGUGGUUCUAUUAUAGGUCACAUAUUAAUAGAUCGAUACAAAUUUAUUAAAAAGAUCCUUAUUUUCAACGAUCAAUAUCAGUUUGACUAUAAAUUUAUCUGAAAUGACCCUUGUUAAUGGACUCUAGCUUAUAGGGUCAAACUUGGCUAUACAUGCCUCGGAGAAAAUUCAUCAGUUCGUAGAAGAGACCUUUCUGCAUCAACUCUAUGAAAAAUGCAGCACUUAUCAUCUAAAUAAAAAUUAGUAAGACUAUCUUAGAUUCUCUGAAGUGUUUAUAUUGCAGCCGCUUGUAUUGAAUACACACAUAAAUAACCACACAUAAUCAGGAAGGUUCGAAAUUUUUUGGUUUAACCAUAUCACCAACAUGAAGAAAAGACUUUCAAGCGUCAUAAUAGCUAAGAGCAUCUCCAACGGCAUUGGCUAUAAUCGUUGGCUAAAUUAGACAUGUAAGACAUUAUGUAAAAUUUGCUGAACCUGUAAGACAUUUUGCUUCAAUGGUAUUGGCUAUAUUAAUUAGUUGGCUAUAAUUUAAAAAUAGUAUGUUAUUAAUAUUUUAAAUUGUUAAAAUAGAAUAUAUCAGUUCAAUAUGGUAAUAAAUGAUUUACAAUCUUCCUACAGAUUUUCUUACAAACCUGUAGAGGUUCAACAAAUUUAGUCAUCCAUAGGAGGUUGGCUAAAUUUAUAGACAACAGCUGAGCAUGGUUGGAGGUGAGUUUUUGGAGCUGUUACCUAAAUUUUUUUAUUUUAAGUAUGUUAACUCACAUUUUAGCCAAGGGUUUUAGAUGGUUGGAGAUGCUUUGAGAGUUUUUUAUAUUCAGGAUAGCCCCGGUCUAGAUUAUUAUAAAAAACUUGUUUAUAUGGAGACAUAAUAAAGGUCCCAGAAUUUUUUACUCUUCAAGAUUUCCGUUUCUAGCCAAAUUUUUUGACCAUAAAUAAUAUAUUGGUUUUACCUGAAAACAAAAUUUAAAGAAAAUUCAAACUUUUUUAUUAGAGUACUUCUUUUCUUUUAUUAUUACUUCUUUUCUUUUAUUUUGAAAUUGCAAAACAGCUCAAAGUAGUUCUAAAAGAAUCAUUCUCCCCGCUAGGAUCAGUUACAAUUAAGAUUGACAAGAUGUUUUAGCUGCGAGUUCUUCAAAUUAUUGCUCGUAAGGUCCAUGACAGCUUAGAUAGUCACCAAAGCUUUGGCCUGUGGAUUAAGUUGAUGAAAUCUAGUGCAUUAAAAUCAAUGACAGCACUAUUUUAUGGGAUUGAUGCUCGCUCUUAAUAUUAUGCGUUUUUCUAAUGUGUGUGCCCAAAGACACACAAUAAACACUAAAUUUGAUAAAAAAAAUCGUAAUAUUAGUCAUUCCGCUCAUAAAUUUCAACCAGAGAAGAAAGAGCAUCGUGACUGUCAUUGUAUCCUUAAAAUUUGUUCGAUUAGGUUUUUUACAUAGUUUGCGCGUGGUCAUCAGGGUAGGCCUUCAUUAUAUUAAGCCAAUCUAGCUAGUAAUUCCAUAUUAAACAAGUUUAAAAUUUUCAAAUUUUGAUCUUAAUAAAUUUGUAAAAAUAGUAAACUUUUUCUUAUUUAUGAUAUUCACAAAUCUCUUACUUUUUUAUUACUGUAUUCAACUAAAUAUUUUUUAUAAACACUCAUAAAUGCAUCACAUCAGUUAUGAAAUUUAAAACAAAUAGUUUAUAGCCCGUGUAAGGCACGGGAGUUUUUUAAUUAUUUAUAAAUUUCUUAAAUAUAUUUUAAAUGGUGUGAAAAAAUUUAAUUUAUAAAUAAUAAAUUAAAAUUUUCAAUAAAAUAAAAUUCGAAAUUAUAAUUUGUUUGUAAGUUAGAACUGUGGUAAAUACAUCAUCAAGCCCAUUAAUGGUUUCAAAUAAACUAUUGUAAUGAAGCCAUUCUUUUUCUCGUAUGUACCGUGGCAAAGAAUUAAAUUCUGUUUAUCAAAUUUUAAUAUAUUUUGAGUGGAAUACGUUAUUGCCAACUCUUAUUAGAUUAUAUUUAUAAAUGUAUUUUAUAUUAGAAUUAUUAUAGUGUGAUUUAAAUAGUCCGCAAGGGUUAGUUUAGCUGGUUAAAAAGAGGACAUGUAUCCUCUUGGUCACAGGUUCGACUCUCAAAGGGUGGAUUAACGCUAUUGCGUGAUCCACUCCCAAAGGGUGGAUUAACCCUCCAAAGGGUAGCUGUUGCGGGUUCCUAGAUUACAAAAAAAUAAAAAAAUAUAUAAUGUGAUUUAAAUAUUUUUCAAAAAAUUUAUAUGGUUCCAAAUUAAAAUUGAUAAACAUAAUUUGUUGUGAUUUAAAUAUUUUUCAAAAAAUUUAUAUGGUUUCAAAUUAAAAUUGAUAAACAUAAUUUGUUUUUGAAUUAAGAAAAGGAAUCAUAAACAUGCAAUAAGAAGGUAGAAUCUAUUUUGGAUUAAGAAAAAGUUUUUGUAUUUGCUAAUCACAUAAAUCCGGCUUAUUAAUUUUAAAAUAUAUUAUAAAAAAAUUGUGACGGUGAGAUUUAUAUGAUUAAAAAAUUUUUGUAUUUGCUAAUCACAUAAAUCCGGCUUAUUAAUUUUAAAAUAUAUUAUAAAAAAAUUGUGACGGUGAGAUUUAUAUGAUUCUACGAAUAAAACUGGUAGAAAAUAUUUAUUUGGGAUUAAAAAAAUCAUAUACACGUGAAAGACAUAAUUUGUUUUGGAUUCAGAAAAAAAAUUAUAAAUAUGCAAGGUGAUAUCAGUUGCCUUGUAGAACAGAAGUUGAUUUUCGAAUCUAACGGUGCUUAUUUGUUCAAUAUAAGAUGCAACGGAUGAUAAACUUUUGGACCAGAGAACCAUGCGACCAAAUUAUCUCCCUUACGCUUAUUAUAUAUAAGUAUAUAAUAUGUCCAAUUUCUUUGAGAAAGAUGGUUGUAUAAUUUUUAGUUUAAAAUUUUAAUUAUUUUUAUUUUUAAUAUAAUUUACAACUAAAAAGUUUUAUUAUAUUUUGACUGCUUUGUAAUACAAUUAAAUAUAUCUUAAAUACACUUUUUCCUAUAUAUAUACGCUAACCUCGAGAGAUGUUGAAGAUCGUCCGAAACAAAAUUUGAAAGGGAAAAUGAAAAUGAGGAAUUGCAACCUCUGUUUUUUCACCAUCAGUAUGAUGCUCAUCUUCUUGAAGUUGCAGCACCACCUGGUGGCUUCUUCAUUAAGCCCCCACUUGCAGAAACUUGCCUUGUUUCACCUUAAGCAAAGCUUCACAAUCACUCCUCCUCGCUUCCCUUGCUCCUAUUAUUCCUACGAAGAUAAUGAGGGGUAUGAAAUUCCUUCUCGGCCAAAGACAAUGAGUUGGAGCAUGAGUACUGAUCACUGCACAUGGGAUGGAGUUAGCUGCGACAACAAGACAGGGGAUGUUAUCGGACUGGAUUUAAGUUGCAGUCAGCUGGAAGGAGCCAUUCUUCCUAACAGCACUCUCUUCCAACUCUCUCAUCUCCGCUUCCUCAAUCUUUCUCAUAACAACUUUUCCCUCUCCAGUCAGUUCCCUCCGGAAUUUGGUUUCUUUGCAAAAGGUCUGACGCAUCUCAACCUCUCUAAUAGUUAUUUAUCAGGGAGAGUUCCCUCUGGAAUCUCUCAUUUGUAUAAACUAGUCUCACUUGAUCUCAGUGACAAUGAUGGGACUAAACUUGAAGAAGAAGUAUUUAAAUCAAUGUUGCAGAAUUUAACGCAUCUCGGAGUGCUUAAUCUUAAUAACGUUAAUAUCUCCUCUAUUUUUCCCGUGAAUAUCUCUACUUCUUUAAGAGUUCUUCAAUUGUUGUAUACUGGUAUACACGGAGUAGUACCCCAAGAGGUUUUCCACCUUCCCAACUUGGAAUUACUUGAUUUAUUAUAUAAUUACGACCUGAGAGCUACAUUACCCAAAGUUAAGUGGGGAAGUAAAGCUACCCUCCAACACCUUCAUCUUUCAGAAAUCAACAUAGAUGGAGGUAUACCUGACUCAAUAGACUUUUUAAAGGACUCAUUAGUCAGUUUGUAUCUGGGCGGCUGUAAUUUGUCUGGGCCUAUACCAAGAUCCAUUGGGCACCUCGUUCAACUUACUCAGUUGGGCCUCCAUGAUAAUAAUCUCAAUGGCCCAAUUUUAACUUUUUUUACCAACCUUACAGACUUAAGAUAUAUCUACCUUGAAGGUAACAAUUUUACGGGUCCGUUUCCCUCUUUUCUUGCCCACUCCAGUAAACUAGUUGUGUUGCAUAUUGAGAGUAAUAGCUUUACUGGAUCCCUACCUCGUUCGUUGUUUCACCAUCCAUCCUUAGAGUACUUGUUUCUGGAACUUAAUGCAUUCACGGGUCCACUACAUGAAUUUGAUUCUUCUCGGUCCCGGCUGCAAUAUUUUUCUUGUUCCAGCAAUUUACUCAAUGGAUCCAUUCCACAUUCAUUUUCUCAACUUGUCAAUCGCACUGACCUAGAUUUUUCUUCAAACAAUUUCACCGGGGUUUUGGAUUUGGAAAUGUUUUCAGGUCUCGAAUUUCUAGAACGUCUUGAUCUUUCUGAUAACAGUCUUUCAGUGACAAGUACAAUCAGUGGCACCCUCCCUCCUACGCUUAUAUACUUGGGCUUGUCUUCUUGCAACAUGAAAGAGUUUCCUCGCUUUUGAACAGAUGCAAACAUCUUCCUGGAUUCUAUAGACCUGUCAAACAAUAAAAUUGACGGGGAAAUUCCACACUGGAUUGGGUCGCUGGGGGUGUCCUAUCUGAAUCUUUCUCACAACAAACUAAUAGGCGGUCUUGAGCAACUGCCUUGGGGUUAUAUUAAUUAUCUUGAUCUCCAAGACAAUAAGCUGAAUGGAUCGUUGCCCACCUUGAUGUGUAAUUCCAGCUCUCUUGAGAUUCUAAAUCUCUCUCACAACAAUUUGAGUGGUGUACUCCCCAUUUGUCAUACAAAUUUGACUCAGCUUUCGGUGUUGGAUCUGCGGAGGAAUAAAAUUCAAGGAAACAUUCCAGCAACCUUGUCAAAUUUCCAUAAUCUGGAAACCAUUAAUAUGAAUGGAAACCAAUUACAAGGAAGCAUUCCUUCUUCAUUUGCUGAAUUUGAUUCUUUAGCCGUUCUUGAUCUUGGAAAUAAUCAGAUAAAUGAUACAUUCCCCCGGUGUUUGGAAGCUCUUCCAAAUCUCCAAGUUCUUGUUCUCAAAUCUAACAAGUUUUGUGGUCUUAUAAACACGAGUUCUAAGAUUGUACACCCAUUUCCUAGCUUGAGAAUCAUUGAUCUGUCGGACAAUGAGUUUUCAGGUCCACUGCCAGCAAAAUACUUCAGAAACUUCAAGGCUAUAAUGAAUAGUGAUGUAAGCAAAAUAGAUCGUAGUUAUAUGAAUCAUAGUUUCUAUUACAGUGAUUCCACGGCUCUGGUGAUUAAAGGAGUAGUCAUAGAGUUGGUAAAGAUAUUAACUAUUUUUACAACCAUGGAUGUGUCAAGGAACCAGUUUGAAGGGGAGAUUGUAGAAUCAAUUGGAAAUCUGGUGUCACUUAGAUAUCUCAAUUUAUCACAUAAUCAUCUCAGAGGCCACAUACCACGGUCGAUUGGAAAAUUGACUGUGCUGGAGUCACUAGACCUCUCAUCCAAUGAACUUGAAGGAGAAAUUCCUCCGCAACUCACUGGUUUAUAUUCACUUGCAGUUCUAAAUCUUUCUUGCAACCAACUUAGAGGCCGUAUACCAGAAGGGUCACAAUUCAAUACGUUUGAAAUCUACAGCUACGCCGGGAACUUUGAAUUGUGUGGAAAACCCUUGUCAAAAAAGUGUGAAAAUUAUGUGAGGGUACACAAAGAAGACGAAGAAGAUGAGGAUGAAUAUUACUUUUUCAGUGGUUUUACAUGGGAAGCGGUGGUGAUUGGAUAUGGGUUUGGAGUGGUGCCUGCAUUUAUCGCCGGGUACUUGAUGUUGCUGGCACGGAAACCAAAAUGGUUUGCUGGAAUCAUUGGCAGGGAAUUGGGCCUCAAGAUCAGGAGGAUGGAGAUUAGAAUGCGAUAACUACAGGUUUGGUGUAAUCUGUAUCCCAUUCCCAGGUCUUGAAAAUUCUGUAAUAAUAUAGUAAUAUCUGCUCUCAUAUAAUUCUAUAUUUGCAGAUUCAGAUGGGACAAGCAGGAUUCAGAUGCAUUGCAUUGGAUUCAGAUGGGACAAGCAGGAUACAAGUUAUGUAGUAUUGUUUUGUUCCAGCUCUUAUCUGAUCUGCAAUCAAGUUAAUGAACCACUACCUCAGUUGUUAAGCAUCUUUCAGCAUUUUAAUUUUACAACUCACAAUAAAAGAUUACAUGUGUAUUAAUCUGAUCAUCAUUGGUUUAGAUCAAUAUAGAAGUUCGGCUUUGUUUAUUUCUAUCCCGGGCUCCUCAUUUUUAGAACAUAUUUGUUGAUACUUUUUAUGGAACGGUUAAGAAUAUUCCAUAGAUUUUUAUAUUCAGUGCUAGAUGAUUUUAUGUCCUGUUUUCAUUCCAAUUUCCGUUCAUGAACUAAUUAAAAAUCUGAAAGUGGGUCAUAUCUGGCAGUGAUGCCCACCUUUCUGGACCUGAAUUUCAUGACCACACAAACUCCAAUUCUGCCCAAAAAUUGCAGCUGUUUCGUAAAAUAUUUUUACGUGCUCUUUUGUUUGGACUUGUUUGCUGGACCAUGCAUAUGUUUUGAUACAAACAUCUUCGUGUAUGUUAACACUCUUGUGUCAGUUUCUGGACUCAUUGUUAGUAGCCCAUUCUUUACGGCAGACAUUGAAUUGGAUUUACUUGAAGAAAUGAAGGUUUAAGAAAGUUGAGAACAAUUUGUUGAUAAUUUCCUUCCCUAGAAACUGCACUCCAGCAUCAAAGUACCUUUCAAAGACUCCAGACAUCAUCUCUUGAUUAUCGAAGACUUGGUCUUGCAUAUACUGAUAUACAGUGAAUAUAGAUUUCUUUCAUUUCCUUGAAAUUGCAUUUUUGGAAGUAGCUCUCCAGACUCAUUCCCGUCACUUCUUAAAGUCUUAUUCCUCCUCAAUACUACAUACACGUAAUAUCACACCACUUUGCUCAUGCUCAGAUGGGUUUUUCUUACAAACCACAUAUGUUCACUUCUCAGAGUCUUAGUCCUCGUCAAUGUAUAGAGAUAAUAUCUCACCAUUUGCUAGUGCUACAAAUGGGCUUCUCCUACAACCACACAUAAUCGGAGAAAAGUCUGUCAAGUGUCAAGUGGACUUGAAAGACCCUUGUGCAUGGAUUAUUGUAUGUCAUGAAUGCCUUCUGAUAUCCCUGAAAGUGCAAGCAAGUUAUAAAAGUAGCUGGGCAGACUCUUUCUCAUCAAUACAUUCACAUUUAAAGCGGGCGUUGAUAUGCCUCCCUAAUUUUCUAAUGCCCUAGACGGAAUUCUAUUACAAUCCACAUAUGAUGGGUAGCGAUCAUCAAUUCAAAGAAGAGACUAUCAGCAGCUUGCAGGAAAUGUCCCCUCUGCAUGGAUUAUCGAAGAAAGGAACUUAUACCUAUAAAGAUGUAGAAAACCAAUGGUAAGCAUAACUGCAUAUAAGAUACAAAACUAAAUUUAAUACAAGACUCGUUCUGAGCAUUGGAAAAUAUAAUUCAUCCUGGUCUUCGUCUUCUACUUCUCCAAAUAUGCUUUUAUUGCAGCCAAUGUAUUAGUGAAAAGAAUUAAAUUUAAAUUAAUUGUAGACCGCAAAUAUAAGAUUAGGAGAGUUUCUACAACCCACAAAUUAGUAGACAGACUAAUAUGGUUAGUUGAGACCAUCAAUCUGGAGAAACUGUUUCUACAAUGACCCAUAUGUAUGAAUUAUUGAAGAAAGAAACUUAUACCUACAAUGUAAAGGAAAUGGUCACGAGUAUAUUGCAUUUUUAAUCCAAAUUGUAUAUGAUUCUCUCUGUGCUACUGAUAGUUAAUAAUAAAUCUACAACGGAACUUGCAGUUAAUCAAGGUAUUUAAGUCUACCUUUCUACAUUGUUGAAUAGUUUGAAUUAAAUAAUUGUAAUAAAUUUUUUGCUGGAUGCUGUGUGAGUUUACCAGAGCUUAUCACGGUGAGAAGUUCACUAAAGCUCUUGGAAUUAGUAAAUAAAAACUCAGGGCAGUGAAUUAGAAGUCUGAGUACAAGGCAAUGAGCAGGAAACAACAUAGGGAGUUUACAACUAGAAGUAUCUAUUCUCCCCCAGUCUUUUUGUGAACAUCAAGAGGCCAUUCAUAUUGCUCACAAACCAGUUAAAAGUGGCAGGACUACACAUAAUGAAUCACACAGUCACUUUAUGUGAGAAAAGAAAAUUGUCAGGACUGCAAUGCAUUUCUAGCCCAUUUUGUACAGCAGCUCAAACGUUUAAAAAACUUCAUUAAUUAUUUUCUUUUAUUGAAACCACACUCAUCCAUCAAAGUAGCUCUCAAAGUCUAAUUUCCAUCACCUUCUGAUUCUCAAAGUCUUCUUCUUCGUCUUAUAUUGCACGCCACAUAUUAGUAGACAUACUACAUCAACUCUGUAGAAAGAAACAAUCUAUAGUAGUUGAUGUACAAUGUUAUUAUGUAAAUGUAUAAUAUCAAAAUUAGGAAUAGAAAUCACGCCCUAAUAAUUAACCCUCUGCAGGGGUUAUUAAAGAAAGCAGCUUAUAACUUUAGUUGCUGAACAUUUGUGUGGGCCAAAUUCAAUUUUACACAUCAUUACUAGAUUUACACAUGGUAUUAGACAUCAGUACUAGUAUAAGAUGUUAAUCAAGUUUUGGAAUUUCUUUUAUUUCAGAAAACAAGUUUUUAACUCUCUUUUUUUUUUGUGGUAUUAAUUAUUUAUAUCACGCAUUUGAGCUUUAAAAUUAGCUCUAAAUAAAAGUUGAUUUUCGCUCAAAGAAACAAUGAUGUAUAAGAAGAUUUUCAGAACUGAAUUAUUUCUUUCCAUUUUUACAGUUCCAUUCAAGAACCGAAAGCAGCUCACAAAGACUCACUACAUCAUCUUUCAAUUCUCAUAGUGUUGGUCUUUGUCUUCUGCUGCUCAAAAAUUCUAUUACAGCCCACAUAUCAGUAUCAUAUACCUAAUUAUAAAUAGUAUUUAACACUUAACACCAUUAAAGAUUUGUCUCAGAGACUUACUUCCAUCACCUUAUGGUUCUCAAACUCUUCGUCUUCUAAUGCUCCAAAAGUUCUAUUAGUGCAGGCCACAUAUUGGUAAACAGACUACAAUUCAUCCAAAAUGACCCUCUUAUUGGACACUUUGAACACCUCUGUCUGUAUAUGCAUUGGAGAAGAAUUAUCAGCUCGUUAAAAUAACCUCUUCGCAUCAACUCUAUGGAAAGAAGCAAUUCAUACCUAAAGUACAAUGUUUGGAUAAAAUUAGGGAUAGCAACCGCACGCUAAUUUUUUAGUUGAAGCAGGCUACCUUAGUGUAAUUAACUGAACAUCCCCGUAAUUUCUUGACAGGCCACAAUUAAGGAAGUUUACAGAAUUACAUUCCAGAAGUAGCUCCCUGAGACAGAUUCGCAUCAUCUUUCAAUCUUCAAAGUUCUUUAUACUUAUAUUAUAUUUCAUGUUUUAUUGUAAUGAACAUAGCAGUUUCCUGUUCAGUAAUAUUCCAGGCUCAGGUUCUUCAUUCCAAGUCUCUGUUACAUGUUUGCUACUAAAACGUAUUAAACAGUUAUUAGUUUAUGACUGUAUUCCAUCUUGAAAGGAGAUCUCAAAGACUCAUUCCCAUAAUCUUCAGAAUCUCAAGUCUUGAUGAACUUGGCCUUCAUCAUAUUUGUACUCUUGUAAUUCCAUAUUAAUCAAGUUUAAAUAUUAAAAUUUUUAAUUUUAGUAAAUUUGUAAAAAUAGUAAAAUUUGUCUUAUUUAUAAUAUUUAUAAAUCUCUUACUUUCCUGUUACUGUAUUCAACUUAAUAAUUUUUACAAACACUGUGCAUCACAUAAGUUAUGUAAAUUUAGAACAAAUUAUGUCCAAUUUAUUUAAGAGAGAUUGUUAUAUUGUUUUUACUUUAAAAUUAAUGGUAUCUUUUAUUUUUAAUAUAAUUUACAGCUAAAAAUAUUUGAUAUAUUUUCACACUGCUUCUUAUUUUUGUAAUAUGACUAAACAUAUCUUAAAUACACUUUUUUCCUAUAUAUAUGCUAGCCUCUCGAGAUGUUGAAUAGAUCAUCCCAAACAAAAAAAUUUAAGGGAAAUAGAAAAUGAGGAAUUCCAUCCUCUGUUUUUCCACCAUCAGUUUGUUGCUCAUCUUCCUGCAGUUGCAGCACAACCUAGUGGCUUCUUCAUUAAGUCCCCACUUGCAGAAACUUGCCUUGUUCCACUUUAACCAAACCUUAACAAUCAGUACUACUAGCUGGGAUUGCGAGUACUAUUCCUACGAUGGAUAUUACGAAAUUCCUUCACGGGCAAAGACAAAGAAUUGGAGCAUGAGUUCCGAUCACUGCACAUGGGAGGGAGUUAGCUGCGACGACAAGACAGGGGACGUUAUCGGACUGGAUUUAAGUUGCAGUCAGCUGGAAGGAGCCAUUCUUUCUAACAGCACCCUCUUCCAGCUCUCUCAACUCCGCUUCCUCAAUCUUUCUCACAACGGCUUUUACAAUCAGUUCCCUCAGGAAUUUGGUUUCUUUGCAAAAGGUUUGACGCAUCUCAAUCUCUCUCGUACUGGAUUAUCAGGGAGAGUUCCCUCUGGAAUCUCUCAUUUGUAUAAACUGGUCUCACUUGAUCUCGGUCGCAACUAUAGGGCUUGGGCUAAACUUGAAGAAGAAGUGUUUAAAUCACUGUUGCAGAAUUUAACUCAUCUUGAAGUGCUUAAUCUUGAAGGGGUUAGCAUCUCCUCUGUUUUGCCCCUGAAUAUCUCUACUUCUUUAAGAUUUCUUGCUCUUGCGGGAACUGAAAUACACGGAGUAGUACCUCAAGAGGUUUUCCACCUUCCCAACUUGGAAUUUCUUCGUUUAUCAUAUAAUGACCACCUGAGAGUAACAUUACCCAAAGUUAAGUGGGGAAGUAGUGCUACUCUCCAACACCUUCAACUUUCAGGCGUCAACAUAGAUGGAGGUAUGCCUGACUCAAUAGGCUUUUUGGAGUCAUUAGUCAGUUUACAUCUGAUCCAGUGUAAUUUGUCUGGGCCGAUACCAAAAUUCAUUGGGCAACUCGUUCAACUUACUCACUUGGGCCUGGCUGCUAAUAAUCUCAGUGGCCCAAUUCUAACUUUUUUAACACGCCUUGCAGACUUCAGAUCUAUCUUCCCUUGAGCAUAACAAUUUUACUGGUCCGUUUCCCUCUUUUCUUGCCCACUCCAGUAAACUAGUUGAGUUGUAUCUUCAUAAUAAUAGCUUUACUGGAUCCCUACCUCGUUCGUUGUUUCACCAUCCAUCCUUAGAGAUCUUGAAUCUGGCAUAUAAUGCAUUCACGGGUCCACUACAUGAAUUUCAUUCUUCUUUGUCACGAUUGCGAUCUUUUUAUUGUUCCAGCAAUUUACUCAAUGGAUCCAUUCCACAUUCAUUUUCUCAACUUGUGAAUCUCACUGAACUAGAUCUUUCAUCAAACAAUUUCACCGGGGUUUUGGAUUUGGAAAUGUUUUCAGGCCUCAAAUCUCUAGGAAUUCUUCAUCUUUCUUAUAAUAGUCUUUCAGUGAGAACUACAACUAUGGCCACUCUCCCUCCUACGCUUAACGACUUGGCCUUGUCAUCUUGCAACAUGAAAGAGUUUCCUCACUUUUCAAGAGAUGCAAACAUCUUCCUCGAUUUUGUAGACCUAUCAAACAACAAAAUUGAAGGGGAAAUUCCACACUGGAUUGGGUCGGUGGGGAGGUACCCUUUCUAUCCAAUCCAUUAUCUGAAUCUUUCUCACAACGGACUAAUAUGCGGUCUUGAGCAACUGCCUUGGAGUCAUGUUGAAUUUCUUGAUCUCCAAUACAAUAAGCUGAAUGGAUCAUUGCCCACCUUGAUGUGUAAUUCCAGCUCUCUCCGGGUUCUAAAUCUCUCUCACAACAAGUUGAGUGGUGUACUCCCCAUUUGCCAUACAAAUUUGACUUCGCUUCGCGUGUUGGAUCUGCGGAGGAAUAAAAUUCAAGGAAACAUUCCAGCAACCUUGUCAAAUUUCCGUAACCUGGAAACUGUUAAUUUGAAUGGAAACCGAUUAGAAGGAAGCAUUCCUUCUUCUUUUGCUGGAUUUGAUUCUUUAGCCGUUCUUGAUCUUGGAAAUAAUCAGAUAAAUGAUACAUUCCCCCAGUGUUUGGAAGCUCUUCCCAAUCUCCAAGUUCUUGUUCUCAAAUCAAACAAGUUUUAUGGUCUUAUAAACACGAGUUCGAAGAUUGUACACCCAUUUCCAAGCUUGAGAAUCAUUGAUCUGUCGAAAAAUGAGUUUUCAGGUCCACUGCCAGCAAAAUACUUCAGAAACUUCAAGGCUAUGAUGGAUAGUGAUGUAAGCAAAAUAGAUCGUAGUUAUAUGAAUUAUGGUUCCUAUUACAGUGAUUCCACGACUCUGGUGAUUAAAGGAGUAGACAUGGAGUUGGUAAAGAUAUUAACUAUUUUUACAACCAUGGAUGUAUCAAGGAACCAUUUUGAAGGGGAGAUUGUAGAAUCAAUCGGAAAUCUAGUGUCACUUAGAGAUCUCAAUUUAUCUUACAAUCAUCUCACAGGCCACAUACCACGCUCGAUUGGAAAAUUGACUGUGUUGGAGUCACUAGACCUCUCAUCCAAUGAACUUGAAGGAGAAAUUCCUUCGCAACUCACUGGUUUAUAUUCACUUGCAGUUCUAAAUCUGUCUUGCAACCAACUCAGCGGUCAUAUUCCACAAGGUUCUCAGUUUAAUACAUUUGAUGCUGAUAGCUAUGGUGGUAACUUCGGGCUGUGUGGAAAUCCAUUGUCCAAAACGUGUGAACAAGAUAUUGUGGAGCAAGAAGACGAAGAAGAUGAGGAUGAAUGUCACUUUUUCUGUGGUUUUACUUGGGAAGCGGUGGUGAUUGGAUAUGGGUGUGGAGUAGUGCCUGCAUUUAUCAGUGGGUACCUGAUGUUGCUGGCACGGAAACCAAAAUGGUUUGCUGGAAUCAUUGGCAGGGAAUUGGGGCUCAAGAUCAGGAGGAUGGAAAUUAGAAUGCGAUACUAAAGGUUUGCUGUAAUCUGUAUCACAUUCCCAGGUCUUGAAUAUUCUGUAAUAAUAUAGUAAUAUCUGC